rnacentral:lncRNA from 1 species
GCUUCACGCUGCGCUGCACAAUCAAGUACAGAAUAGGGGUGACGCUCUCCUUCUUCCUCAGGUUUUAUUGUGCCAGGCUGAGUGCGCCCUCCAAUGAAUACAACCUGCAGUUUUUCAAAUAUUUACAUUUAAGUGUUCGUUGACAACAAGGGUUAUUCAAGGAAAUUGAAACUCCAGUACUUAAUUCAUUUUGCACAUCUUUCAAAGGCACAAUACUAUUUGUAGUUUUACUUUUGUUCAAAAUAAACACAAAAGAAUUAAAUCACAAAUAGCUCAAAAAUAACUGUGUAUCUAUACUCUUUUAAUCAGGUAGUGGUGGUGGCACCUACUCCCAUUUUAAAUGUUUGCAUGUUACCUCUUCUUGAACUUCUUAAUAUUAAAAAGGAUCAAAACUAAAUGGAUAGCCACAUAAAAAAAUAGUUCAAGAUGAAUAUUCCGUAACACAUUAAUACAUUUUGUUUAAUCCAUUGCAAAGCACCGGCAUUUAGCUAAUAGUAUAAAAAUAGCUUGACAAAUGGCAGUUUGGUGCCACAGAGUACAGCAUCCAAGCAAGCAAGCAAGCUAAAACUCCAAACUAAUUACAAUAUAAGCUAGAAGAGAACUGUAAUAAUAUCUUAGUUAACUAUAAAUAUAGAUGUAGACUAUUAAAGGUCAUAACCACAAAUGCAACAUCCAAGAGAAUUCUACAUACAUAUAAUUCUAUGGAAAUACCUCAAAAAAGGUGUCACCGUAACGUGAGAAGUUGAGAUCCGAGGACUCGAUACUUUUGGCAACAAGUUCCUGUCAGUGAAAGGUCUUUAUAAGAAUUGAUUGCACAGGAUAAAAUACAAGUAAAACAUAUGUAUGUGAAGGUCGGCAAGAUAGUUUUACAUAUAAAUAUAAUGUUAGCUUGUAUGUCGAUAUUCUAGCACUCCAAAUAAUGUUCAACAUGAUUACAAGAAUAAAAAAAUUAAAAUUUACUAUGAAGUCAUAAUUGUUGUAUAGCAUGUAAUGCUUUGGAUUGAAUACACUAAGAGAUGAAAAUGAUAACAUUAUUCACUAAAUAUGUUGAGUACGGGGCUGAAAUGGCAAUACAUAUCUGUGAAAUAAAUUGAUUUAUCAGUGUAAUGCGUAGGUUUUAUUUUUGUUCAACUGACCUCUUAAAAAAAAGUACUAGCAAAGAAUGAUAGGCAGACUGCUAAGAAUAUUUUCAAGAAUAAUUGCAUGUCCCUUAUGAGCAAAAAGUAUAGACAACAAUAAAUAUUUUAUCAGAACACCCAACUGAAGAUAAAUGAGACGAAAGUUAGGUGACAUGUCAAGGAUGUUUAACAGGGCUAACCAGGUCUCCAGCAUUAUCCAGAUAAAUCUGGACAAUUGCAUCAGAGAAUGAUGCAGGGUCCAAAGGAGCAGCAAUAUUCCGUUUGCGGGUCUUAAUCCGCUGGCCUCUGCAGUAUAGCAUAACAAAAAAAAUCAUUAAGAUAGCCUUACUAUAUGAUAGUUGCAAAGAAAGCUGAAAACUUCACACAAUACUAUGAAUUGACACAACAAACCACAUGACAGCUCAUUCCCUUACUGUAUGAUCACACAGUGCGUAGUUAAGGUAAUAAUGAGAAAAGACAAGAUAAAUAUAUCUUAAAAGCAAGAACAUCAUGCAAAAGAAACAUGCAACAUUAUCUCUACUAUUGCUAGGUCAGAUAAGACAGAUUACAAACACAAUCAUAAGGACUAAGUAAGCAACACGGACUAACAAAAUUUAAAGCACAGCACUUGAACAAGUUUGCGCCUCAUAGAUACUUAAACAAGGAAAGCUCUAUCAAAAUGAAAUCAAAGUUGAAAUUAUGCCCAUACAUUUUGUGAGCUUAAGUUGCAGUACAAGGGCAUUUAGGAAAAGCAUGUCUAUAUGUUACUACUUGCAAUACGAACAAAACAGAAAAGUUCUACAUAUGACUCAAUCAAAAUAUCUGUAUGUGCAGUUGUGCAUAUUGAUCUAGCAUACACAAAUUUAUAGGAGUAACAUCAGUGAUAGCUCUAGCUGUGCAGAUUCAUUCGUAAUGUUGCAUUCCAAUAUAGUGCUUAAAUGAUAUGAACACCCAGUACAACAGCACCAGAAGAAAGUAAACAAGAAAUAUCUAAAAGAACUAGCUAAUACCCAUGCUUUGCUACGGAUAAAAAUGAAUUAUAUGUGGGCUAAUAAUAUUUGGAACAAGUUAAUUAUAAGGUUUUUGGGACAAUUUCAUCCCUGAUUCGCUGUAGAUGUAUUUGCGUGAUAAACCUAAAUUCUAGAGAAAAAGUACAACAGAGUUAGUGGCUGGCAGAUUCACUGGCACCACCAUUGCGAGACCAAGAGCCUUACCCAAGAGUGGGCUUCUCCUUCGAGCUGCAGACAAAAAAUAGGUAAAAGAGAAAUUGGAUCAGACAACAAGAAAGCAUCAUCUCCAAUUUGGAUGAAAUUCAAGUGAUCAUGGCAUAAGGCGUAUAAAAUGUUAAACAACAAAGCAGGGACUGCUAAUAAUUCAAUAACCCGUUACCCCUGCAUACUUAAAAUGGAUCAAGUGUCCCUAUGUGUCUAAAACAUAAGUCACCUAUCAAAAGAAAAUUGAACUUAAAUAGGACAAAAGGUAAAAUAAUGGUAUGCACUAAAUGGCCAAAAAAAAAAUCAAAUGUUUUAUUGCCAUUGUUGCAGAAAUCACGAAAGGUUUUUUGUACGAGGCUCCCCAUGCUUUAUGGUCCUAACACAUUCAUAGAACCCCUCCCUUAACCAGAUGUUAUUUUAUUGGCACUGGAAAAGGCCAUCGGGACAUUCCAAAACAUGUCAAAAAAAAUGUGUAAGGUAAGUAAAAAAAAUGUGUAAAGAAUGUGUAAGUAAAAAAGAACUUGGUUAUGAUGGAGUAUCCAGACUCUGGCCGAGAAACCUUUAUGCAGCUACAGUCAUAAAACAUAACAUACUGAUAUGUGGUUUUGUGAAACUUUCUAAAAAUAUCGACGGAGAAUUCCAGAAUCUUCAUAAAUAACAACGGACAACUCAAGAAUCUUCAUGCUCAUCUCAGGGUAAAAUUCACAGAACUUACUAAUCAAGAAAAACUCAAACAUCUGACAACCGCCAAAUCUGUGAGGAAUCAAGGAACCUAACUGACUAAAAGCAGAAAAGGCAGCUCCAUCAAACCCAUCAAAUCAUUGAAGAUUUAAGAAAAGACUAUCAAAUUACCCAAACAACGAAAAUAUUGACACGAUAAACGUCUGGAUAAACAUAGCUAAUUCCUUAUACCAUUUCAAUGAGACGAACAAAUCGGACAAAUCUACCAGUACGCAACGAAUUUGAUAGACCUACAACGCAGGAAUCAAACCAAGGCACAUCAAAGGGAACCUCGCUUACUCACAGCUACCAGAUCCGAUCAUACUGAGCGCUCGGAAUCCCCAAGCUUCAACCAUCAAAACUCGCCGGAAAAUCGCACAUCCAAGAUUACCCAAAUCAAGAGCGCGUCACCAAGAAUCACCAAACGAAAAUCCAGCUUCCAAACAAGAAAGCAGCAAACAGCAGCUCGAACCCCCUCCCACUCCGAUCCAGCACCCCUACAACCGACAGCCCACAGAUCCGCCGCCAUACAGGCAACAAAGGGAAGGAAGAAAGCGAGAUCUAAGGCUACCGCAGAAGCGGGACGACGGCAAGUACCUCAUAAACACAACGAUCUGGCGCGGAGGGGGAGGGGGGUUGAGUGGAUCCGGGGCUUCAGGGAAAGUUGCGCGCGGCCGCCGACGCGAGGGAGAGUGAGGAGGGUAAAAAACCUAGCUCUUCUCAGGGUAGGGGUUGGUGCGGCGGUGGCGAUCGGGGAAAGAGGGGGUGAUAAAGCGUGUGUGCGGGGCUUCGGGCGGAAACGGGGAGGCGGCGGCGGAGAACGAGUGGUUGGGAUCGACCAGAGGUCCCGUGUGGGCUGAGUGAUGGGUCGGCCGAAGUUCGGGCAUGGGCUCAAUAAGCUGGCGUCUAUCUGUGGGCCGAUACGUGGCCAUUGGCUGAAGGAAUAAGAUUCACUUUGACUCCCUCGACUGACCAGCUAAUCUAAAUCGUAUUCCUCAACCGCAAUACCAGAAAUCUUAACCCCCGAGCUGUUAAAACCGGUACAAAUUUGACUCCCUUGGUGAUUUUGGAUGACGAUUUUGCUGAUGUGGCGCACACGCAGCAGUGUUGACUUGGUCUUCGUCCCACGUGGCAUUGACAAGACGACUCCGGCGGCGUAACACCGAGCUCCACCAACCUAGAUCCAGAGCUCCGAAUCGGCCACGACAGGCGGCUAGAGGACGAGAUGUGGUAGCAGGGCGGCAGCGGCGGCGGCUGGAGACCACUCCUCGCUUUGCGUCGCCGCCUCGAGGCCGAGACGCGCCCACCGCCGCCGCAAAAUCGGAGGCGGCGCGCAGCAUCCGCUCUGCAUCCGCAAGAAGGAGCUGCUUCCGCGGGAGUUAAAUUGGGCCCACAUGUCAGUGGGCCCACAUUUUUUUGUGUGUGUGGAUGACAAAUGGCCCAGCAUAUAUUUUUUAAUUUUAAUGCCACAUAAGCGCCACUUCAAUGCCACGUGGAACGAAGAUCAAGUCAACACUGUCAUGUGUGCACCACCACGUCAGCGAAACCGUCCUCCAAAACCACCAAGAGAGUUAAAUUGUACCGGUUUAGAUAGUUCGGGGGUUAAGAUUUCUAGUAUUGUGGUUGAGGGAUAUGAUUUAUAUUCGGCGGUCAGUUGAGGGAGUCAAAGUGAUCUUAUUCCUUGGCUGAAUUAGUUUUUACUAGUAGAAGCAGAGAGCAAGGUUAAUAGUACAGCUCGCUAGUGGCUAUAAAAAUAACACAUCAUCCUGUUUAUAGCUUGUUUCAAAAGCUAAUAAAUACAGUAAUGAUCUCUACAUAUUUCUCAUGCACAGCAUUUUAUUUUUUUUAAUCUCAAAUAGUAUCCUUUGAUUGACUGCUAAUAAAUGAUGCACAAAGUUACACACAUGCAGGGAAAAAAAACUGGGCCUACAGCACGGGGAGCCGCGUGCAGCCUGGCUGCAAAAUAGUAGCCCGCGUCUCUCUCUCCUACCCUUCUCUCUCUUUCAACCAGGCAAAAAUCUGCUAUAUGAAACAUUAUAGCAUGCUGAUUUAGACUUAUUGUACCUGUUCUAAGAGAUCCAUCGGCUGCCUAAAAAAUAAGCUAAAGCAAAAUUUAAAUUUUAAAACAAUUUUAACAUAUUUUCAACAUAGUUUUUUUUCAGUGUUAACUUUUAAGUCACUAAAAACACAUAUAUAAAAGUUUUGCACACAAACUAUUUUUUGUUUAAGUUGGCAACUUUUCUAGCAAGAAGACAAUCACGAUCAGGACACCUAAAUGCGUGGUGGUGAUUUAGAGUCGCCAACCACCUCAACCUAGCAAAAGCUAGAUCAAGAUGGUUUUGAUAUAUUAAACCGACUAGCAGAGCCGAUUUAGAUGGAACAAGCGAUAAACACCCGUCUUGUGGGUGAACGGAAGGUUUACGGGACAAACCUACAGAGGGAUUUCGCACUCUCGCGACGAAAGUGGAUGAUUUACAGUGCAAAUCGAUAAAGACUGACAAACUAAGCUAGAACUAGGCGACAAUACUCUUGACUCUACCUGCAACAAUGCUCUACCUUCUCUCAUAUCACCAGUCAUCUUGCCAAGUGAAAAUAAUUUUUUUCCUAGCUGUCACAUCAUAGACUCCCCAAGACCAUAUUCACCUCCAUCUUUUGUCUUAAAUUUGAUUUAAUCUAAUCCAUGACCAGAUAACUGAUGUCAUCACCAAAUAGAUAAAACAAACUCACCAGACAUGAAGAACUAAAUAUUUUCUUCCUUGUCGUCUUAUGAACCAAGCUAAUAAAUCUAACAUCCACGCUUUCCCGUAUCCGUAGACUGAAUUCCUGAUAAUUUGAAAAAAUUCACCAUUGCCUUGAAUCCCCGAAGAAAUUAUCACUACAGUGCUCGCUCUACUUCUUCAGUGACGCAGAUUCCGUAUACCUCUAUCGUGCAAACCCUGCAUAUCUUGGAUAUAUCAUGUACUGCCAAACAGACCCGUUGACGUCCUUUUGCUCGGGUCCAUAUCCCGCCAACUCCACCGCAGCUCCACGCUCUAGAAGCCGUCUGUGGAGAUUAUGGAUACCCCAUACCUACACGACAUGUAUAGUCCGACUGGGUAUGGGGUGCCAUGUAUAGAUAGAAUAUUUUUAAAGGGACUCGGGUUAAAUUCCAAACUCGUAUGUCAAGGAAAUACCCGAGAUCCUAGUCGGUUACGAUUGUAUCUUAUCAGUAACUACCUAUUCCGUUAGGGAUAUGGAUUGUGCUUUGUAAUACGGACCCCUUUCCCUAUAUAAGGAGGGGUUCGGGUGCCUCUAGGGGCACGAUUUUCUCCCAGAUCAAACGAUCAAUAAUACACUCGGCGGAUCAAUCCCCGGACAGGAGUAGGGUAUUACUUCUUGAUUAAGAAGGCCUGAACCUGUAUAAAAUUCCUUGUCUUUCAACCCAUCCACUUUUCCAGCUUGAUAGCCACCCCCUUUUAGUAUUGCCGAAAUCUUGUUUCGACAGUUGCCGCGCCAGGUAGGGGUAGCAUCAAGUUCUUCGCCGACUAGUGCGAUGGGUUUCGUCUCCGGCAUUGACGACUUCGUCUUCCCACCUGGGCAGGCGUUUCGGUUUGGCAGCCUCGACUUCAUCACCAACGACUUCGGCAAGAUUUCUCUCCUCGACUCGGAUUCGAACCAGUCGGGAAGAGGCCAGGUCCCCGCCCCGUUCGGUAUCCCGAAAUCGGCCGGGAUCUACCCCAAGAUCAUCUCAGCCGAGUUGGCCCCAAACCACUCGGACGAGAUCCAAUCUACUCCAACACGACCCGAUCAAGAUGAUGGAGCCUAUCCGCUAAUCCUGAUGAAACUCCGCGAUGACUUGGCUGCCGUCUUCACCAAAAGGGCGUCCUCUCCCCGUAGGUCUAGGCGGGAUCCGGCCCCGUCCCCGAUCCAGUCUAGUUCCAGGGAAGUCGGCGUCAUACUCCAGCCUCUCGGCACGGUCUCGACGGAACAAUUGGACGGCUACCUCAGCUCUCCCAGUGUCGACUCACGACUGACGGAGAUCGUAGAGUACGACGACUUCGGCUACCGCUACGACUACCGCAACCUCGACGACUUCGACGAAGGCUAUGAAGAUAACUACACGCCCCUUUACUUCGGCAUUUUCAUGGCCAACAACGAGACGGAAGAACAGUGUCAAGCCCGACAAGCAGAAGAACAGCGCGUGCGACAAGAAGCCGAACGUCGCCGACUGGAGGAGGAGCGCCAAGCACAAGAGUGAGAAAGGCUGCAGCGUGAGCAACAGGAGCGCGAGCGGGCUGCAAAGGAGGCUGAGGACCGGUGACAGCGCGCCUUGGAGGCUGGGCGACGAGCACGAGAACUCAUCGGGCAGCAAGAUGUCGAGGGGACGGCGGUUUUUCACAUCCCUUUACAGAACGCGGUUGCAGCGAUCACCCUCCUCGACACCCUCCUUAAGGGAGACGCACUCAAUCAGGCCAAUCACGUCGUCAACAUCUUGAACAAGACCAAGACCAUGAUCGCAGCUUCGGUCCCGGUUAAUUCCGCAAGCGUCCGCACGCCGACUGGCAGCCGAGUUCCUCCUCUUCGAUCUCAAGACUAUCACCAUCCAAGCCUCAGCAUCGUCGGCGCUGGGUCAAGUCGCAAGAGCAGGGAUCACGGCAAACGAUCUGUCUACUCGCCUCCUCACCGGCAAAGGGAGCGUCGAGCUAAACGUCCCCACUCCCCACAUCAUAGGCGUCCCAUCGAUCUUCGCGAGACCAUUAACCAGCGCGCGCGGCGAGAGGCUACAUUCCCCACCAUUCACCAGAUCGCUACGACGACGACGUGGAUGGAGUUGCUGCCUUCACAAGUGACCUGCGUCGAGUGGAUUGGCCAGCCAGCUUCAAGCUGACUGGAAUCGAGAAGUAUGACUGCUCCACCAACCCUGAGUCUUAGCUCACCGUCUACAGUCUCGCAAUUCGCGCACCAGGAGGAGACAGCAAAGCUAUGGCAAAUUAUCUGCCCGUGGCCCUAGCGGAUUCUGCCCGGUCCUAGCUUCACGGGCUACCCCGUGGCACAAUCGAAUCUUGGGCGGAACUUCGCGACCACUUCAUCGCUAAUUUCUAGGGUACCUUUGAACGCCCUAGCACCCAGUUUGAUCUUUACAACGUUGUCCAGAAGUCCGGAGAAUCCCUUCGAGAUUAGAUCUGACGUUUUUCCGAGCAACGCAACAAGAUCUCCGACAUCAUCGACGACGUCAUCAUCACCGCCUUCACCAAGGGCAUUCGCCACGAUCUCUUAGUCGGCAAGUUUGGACGCAAGCCUCCCAGGAUAGUCAAGCAGAUGUUCGAAAAAGCCAAUGAGUACGCCAAAGCCGAAGAUGCCGUCACCGCAUCCAAGCAGUCGGGCACCACUUGGAAGCCGAAGAAAGAUACGCCGACUACAGGGGGAGUGGAAGUACCAAUCACAAGGAUCGCAAGCGUAAGCCCGAAGAACUUGUGGCAACCACUACACCAUGCUCCCGACAACGUUCACGCGUCAACACUUUUGACAAGAUCAUGAACUCCCAAUGUUCGCAUCAUCCAAAUUCCAAUCACGCAGCCAAAGAUUGCUUCGUCUACAAACAGUUCGUAGAGCAAUACGCUAAGAACUCACGCAAGACGACUAACGGAGAUCAAAGCACGUCAAAGAAGAAGGAUGACGAAGAUGAUGCCCCGACUGGUUUUCAAGACCAUCGCAAGGAACUCAACCACAUCUUUGGCGGACCCCUAGCUUAUGAAUCCAAGCGAAAGCAAAAGCUGAUUGAACGGGAGAUCAAUGCUGUUCAGCCCGACACACCCCAAUAUCUUCGGUGGUCAGAGACAGCUAUCAAGUUUGACCACUCGGAUCAUCCUGACCGAGUGGUCUACCCGGGACGGUACCCCCUGGUACUAGACCCAGUGGUUCGCAACGUCAAGCUCCGAAGAUCCCUCAUCGAUGGUGGUAGCGCACUCAACAUCCUUUUCGCCAAGAUGCUGGACGACAUGCAGAUCCCUCGCACGGAAUUGAAGCCGAGUAAUGCGCCCUUUCACGGAGUCAUCCCCGGGCUGUCUUCUACUCCACUCAGCCAGAUCACUCUGCCGGUUGCUUUCGGCACUCGGGAGAAUUUUCGCACAGAGAAUAUUUGCUUCGAAGUUGUUGAUUUCGAGACAGCGUACCAUGCCAUACUCGGACGACCGGCAUUAGCCAAGUUCAUGGCUGUCCCGUACUACACCUACAUGAUGAUGAAGAUGCCAGGUCCCCGAGGAGUCAUAUCCCUGCGGAGCGAUAUUAAGCAAGCCGUCACUUGCGACAAGGAAAGCUGCGAGAUGGCUCAGACCCGCGAGAUCACGCUCGCCCGAGAAGAAAUCCGACUAGCUGCGUCCACAGCAACCGAAGGAGAAGUGCCUGCGACCAAGAUGACAAAGAGCGGAGAAAGCAACGCCAAGACCAAGAAAAUUCCUCUAGAUCCUUCCGAUCCUACUAAGACUGUUGUAAUAGGCGCUGAGUUAGUGUAACAUCCUAAAAAUUCCUGACAAUAAAAAUCACUAAAAUUUCGAACUUUUUAAAACUUUUGCAUCAUGCUGGUUGUUAUGAUUGCUAUUGCUUGCCAAACCAUAAAUGAUCACAAAGAAAGUAAAGAAAAGAUCGACAUUUAAGCAAUAGAUAUAAUUUACGAGAAUAUAUUAUUGUUAACCCUACCAAUAUUUAUGCACAAGAUAGUAAAGUCAAAUAUUAAUUUCUAUUAUAAAUUAAAAAUCAGAUAUUAAAUAUUCGAACCAUGAGUGAUAGCUUGAUGUCACAAUUAGCUAAAGAAAUAGUAAGAUUAAAUCUAAUUUAUUUGGAUCUACUCUCAUAUGAAAUAUAAGUACACAUGAAAUAAUGAACACAUCAAUGGCCCCAUCUAUAAUAGAGUAUCUCACUAGAAUAUAUAAUUAAUAUUUGAAACACCUUAUCAAGCUCCUCAUAACAUGAAAAUCACUCAUAUAAAAUAAUGGUCAUAUAAAUAAAUUAAGCUUUAUAUAUAAAUAAGAUUAUGUGAGUUUUAAUUAAACAAUUAGAUUAAUAUUGUACCGAGUCUCAAUUUACUAUUUAUAGAAUAAAUGGAUUAAACCUAUCUGUGUAAAAUAUAUUGCUAUACAAAUAAACUCGACCAAUCUACCAUUGUAUUAUUAAGGACACAUCGUUAUAUUAAAUAUAAUAUUACCCCCAAAGUCUUCAAAAAUAUAUAAGUUCACUUUAGGGCCAAUAAUUUAAAUUAAUCUAAAAAGAAUUUAUUUGUGUGAUAAAUAAAUAAAUAUGGGUGGUAAUAAUUUUGGAUAAAUUUUCAUGAGGAGUUAGUGCUUAAAUUUAGUUAACAUUUAACUAAGUAAAAUUAGGGCUUAUAGGAUUAAAAUUGUAUAGGAGAUAGGCUAAGAAAUGAAUAAUAGGAAAGGACAGUGUUCAUUGCCCCCUAAGUGCUCGACCCUGUCCCACCGCCGCACCUAGCCCUGCCGUGCCGCUGCCUUGCGCCCUGUGCCGCCGCACGCCAUCGUGUCGCCGUCGCCGUCGCUUAGACGCGCCUCGCGCCGUCGCUUCGCUCUGCGCACGCCGCUGUCGUGCCCCCUCGCGUCCCAUCGUGCCACGCGCCGUCGCCGUCGCGUCGCCAUCGCCGUCGCCGUCGCGCUGCCACGCCUUCGAGCCCCGCGCCCUGUCGCUGCCGCGCCGCUCGACCGUCGCCGUCGGCCUCGCGCCCUGAGCCACCGCGCGCUGUCGCCGUCGUGUCACCCGUCGCCCUGCGUCGCCCGUCCCGUCGCUAUCGCCGCGCGCCCGUUGCUGCCGCCGCGCGCCGCUCGCCUGUCGCCGUCCCGCCCGUCCCGUCGCGCCGAGCCCCAUGCCGAGCCGCGCCGCCCGCCCGUCGCGUCGCCGCGCGUCACCGUCGCCUCACUCUCCGCGCGCCGCGCCGUCCCAUCGCCAUCAGGCCGACCACCUCUCCCCACGCCUAUAUAAACCCCUCCCCGGCUGCCCAUUGCUUCCCACGCUACCCUCACCACCUCCCCUCCCUUUCCCCUCUCUUUCCCAUCCCCGGCGUCGCCGCCUCUUUGGAAGCUGCCGCCGCCGCUGAGUUGACGCGCCCCGCCGCCGCGCUGUGCCUUGUCGCCGCACCGUGCCCCGCCGUCGACCCCACCACCGGUCCGGUGAGCCUCAGCCUCCCCCUCCCCCACCGCUUGUCGUCGCGCCGCGCUGUCCGCCGGUUCCAGCCGAGCCACGAGAGAGAGGAAGCAGAGAGGUAGCAGAGAGAGAGAAGAGAAUAGAGAAGAGAGGUUAGAGUGGGCCCCACGUGAUUAGUAAAUAGUAAUCCGCUUUUUAAUCUUUAUUAGUUAAGUAUAUUACAUAGGUCCAGGUGGUUAGAAAUCUGAUUAUGGAAGGUUUAUAGUUUCGAGUCUAUGACAUGUGGGCCCCACUUGUCAUUAGCUCAUCCUAUUUCCCUUUAGAAAAUUAAUUCGGUGGAAAAUAAAGUAAAGGUUUGACCCCACGUGUCAGCAGCUGUUAGUGUUAAGAACAAACUUCGGAUUAAAAAUAAAUCAUUUAUGAACAGUAGCUUUUCACAAUUUCUCGGAUUAAUUCAAAUUUGAAUCUUUACACUAGCAUAACUUAUUCAUUUUAACUCGGAUUUGAGUGAAACUUGAACCUAAAUUCAUCUAAAUUCAUAAGCUUUCCAAUGAUAUAUAAUUCACUAUUUAAUAAAAUAUAUUUAUAAUUAUAAAUUAAUUAAUAUCAAAUGAUUAGAUAAUUGUUAACCUAAAUAGUGUGCCAAUAAAUAAAAAUGGAUAUUGUACAGUAGCAUAAUUAUCUUUAAUAUGUCUUGUCACUGUAGCAACCACAUAAAUUAGUUAUAAUCAAUCCUUCAAAUUAAUGGGUGUAUAGGAAAAUAUUAGUGCCAUUUACUAGUCUAUGUCCAAAUAUAACUAAAUCCAUGACUUAUAAAUUAUUUACAAAAAGUUUAGCCUCAUAUUUUGUAACUAAAAUAUAAACACACAUAGAUGAAUAUUUAACUUGUUUAGGAGAGUAAUCACAGAGCUAGUUGUAUUUGGACCACUUAAAAAUUAGUCGAUACAAUGUCAUGUGAAGUAGAAUAUAUAUAUAUAGUCGGUUGAUAUCCAUUAGUUAACCAAACAGAGCCAUCUUAAAAUCAACAUGUAUUGUAUAGCUUACAGUAAAAAGCAACUACUCAAAUAUAUGAUCCAAUAAUAAGAUAUUGUUGCUUACACAUAUACUAUACAUCCCAUUAUAGUUGUACGGUAUAGUAUUAAUUUGCGUGUUGCAUAUAUUAAAUUAGAGGGAGUAUAUGACAAACAUGUAUAUUAGAUAAAUACUAGUUAUAAAUCUUGACCUCAUAUAAUUAUAAUUAUAGUUCAACUGUAAAUUAGGAUUAUUCAUUGUAAAAUUAUGUGAUGGGAUAAUCUGUAACCAUAAUAUGAUUAACCUAAACAACUCUAACAUACAAAGCAUGGAUAAUUAUUAACCUUUUAUAAUUUAUUGUGACAAGUAAAAUAUGUUCAUAAUUAAAGUAAAGCCUCCAUCAAUUAAAUAAUAAUAAAUCCAUCUAACAACAGAACCUCUGGUAUGUAACCGUGCUAUUUAGAUAGAUGCAUAUAUAGUCAUAAUCCUUCCAUAGCCAUUUGAUAGACUAAACCACCGAUUAGCCAAAUAUAUAUGUAUACCAUAAAUGCCAUGUUGGUUAACUCCUAAAUAGACCACGAUGACAAUAGAAAGAUUAAGAAACUUUAGCCCUUAGCAUGAUUGGAAUCCAUUAGCAAACACGAAUAGUAUAUUUUGUUGCGCAUAUUUGAUUGUUGUUUGAAUAUUGGUUUUUCUCGCGUAUUAUAGACCUUGUGUAUCGGUUAGUCGUGAGGCAACGUCUGCAAUUUCCAGGAGGUGAAGGUUGAUCAAGAUUAUAUCAAUAAUAAGGAUUAUUCUGAGCAGGCAAGUCAUCACUAUUCCUUGAACAUGUUGAUCCCAAUUGCGAAAUUAUUUUUAUUUACAAAUAAGAUUGCAUGCAAUGAUGAACAUCCUAUUUUUGAAUAUGCCAUGCCUUGAUUAUUGUUUACCCUUAUUCCCUUGUAACCAUGAUUACGUAUGAGUCCCUAGUCAACUAUGACAAAUGCUUAGAAAUGCUACUCUAGAAUCAUGCAUACUCAUAUUUAUCAAAUGCUAUAUGCUUGGGCAAUUACCUUUGGGAAGGUAUUGAGAUGCGGCAUGUGGAGACAUGAGCGCCACAUUGCCAUGAUGUUGAUGAUAUGAUUUGUGAAAGGAGAAAUAAAAUUAAACAAUUGUUUUCGACUGGGGCAGACGGAGGAUUUGGGUGGUAUCCGGAAAAGGCUAGUACCGUCCCUGGUCAAUUAAGGACCGAGCCAUGAAGUUAAGCAUGAAACGACCCCCGUACAACCGCACUUCUCGUAUGGGUAUAGACCUAGCGGAGUAGAUAGCUGAGCGGAGGCAGUAUCCAUGCAUAGUGGUUUCUUGAUGUGUGAGGCAGGGGCUCUACGGUGGGGCAUCCAUUGGUAGAACCGCGAGGCGGGUAUCUACAGUGGUGUCGCCAUCGGUAGGACUGCCAUGUGAGAAUUUAAACAUAAUUAUAACUUAAUGCAUGUAUGAGUCUUUCCUUCCCGGGUGCGCCAGAACUCCUCUCACUGCUAGAAACCGUGUACGCCUAUAGUGCAUGAGGAUAUAAAGUUCAUGGAGCGGGUACUGCCAAUGCGAGGUUAUCGAAAAGCUUUGCCGUAAUGCGUCUCAUGUGUAGGGACGAGGCUCAUGUGUUGGGCAGUCGCGGAGCGCGGGUAAAGUGUACAUCCACUGCAGUGUGAGUAAACCAAAUCUAUUCGAAUAGCCGUGCUCGCGGUUAUUGAGCACCGGGACGUGUAUUACACUUGGCUAGACUCAAAAUUCUUAACUUGUGUGGGAUGGGAUAAUGCAUGAUGAUUUUUAUGCUGUUGGACCCACUUCCUGAGAGGCGGGAAGGUGGACGUCCUCAGAAAACCAUGACUACUCAAUGGCGGGAAGCUAUCCUUGGGAUCACAAUGGAUGGUGGACAGAACCGUCGUUGUUUAAUGUGAACACUGGUAUUAAAAUUUGAUCAGUCUAUGCUAGGUCUUAGACUUGUGAAAAGAUUUGCAAAACUUGCUUUGCGCAAAGGAACCUGAAGCCAUUCCUUGACAUACCCUCUAUCAUAUGCAUCGUUACUGUGGUGGCUUGCUGAGUACGGUUGGUACUCACCCUUGCUAUUUAUAUAUCUUUUAGGCGAGUGUUGAAGAGAAGCCCUUGUCGAUACGCUUGCGUAUCCAACAAGAUGAUCGGAGUGCGGUCUUGUUCUAGGUCUCGUUCCCCAGUCGACUGCCUGUGGCAUGUUAACCGGGCCCUUAUAUUAUUUUGUCUUCCGCAGUUGUUCUCUGAUAGUUGUUGGCCUACCUAGCCCUAAUGUAAGUAUUUAACUCUUUUAGCUUGAAUUCAUUCAUGAUAUGUUGUGAUUCAACUAUGUAUGUGUGUACCAACUACUGAUCCAGGGAUUGGUACGAAUAAACACAGAUGAUUUCCGAUUUCCAAAAUCGGGGGUCUACAGUUAGAUUGUAAAUAGGAAAGCAUGCUCAUCACCUUUCUUCAAAAUAAUAAAGAUAUCUUUGCGUGGAAACCAUCUAAUAUUUUCACGCCCAGAAAUUCACGAACCAGAAUUUCUAAGCUGAAUGUGUAUUAGACCCCUAUCCAGGACUAGCCAGGGUACACAAACGACAAUUGUUGACAUACAGAUCCACGUCUUACAAAAAUAGAAAAGAUUACAAAUGCUGCAGAAAAGAUAAAAGCGAGCUAAGCCUAAAGACUUGACUCCUGCAGCGAGCGAUUCCAUUCCACAGGCAUCCUUGACAGCAGCGACGAAACCAACUUCUUCGAGACAUCUCCAACUGAGAAGGACUUCAACUCUGGUGUUGGGGGAAAAGAGAGCAAGACUGAGUACUACCCACUGUACUCAGCAAGUCAUACUGGAAGAGAAGGUAUGAUGCAGGGUAUAACCAAAGGAGGCUAGAGGUUCAUUUGCACAAAGCAGGCAUUUAAAAGCAGUAGUUAAAAGCAGUAAAACAAUUGUAGUAAUAGAUCAAUAUUAACCAAUCACUGUCCAACGCUACACCACGUUGCAACAGGCCCAACCAACCACCUGAACUACACCAGUUCAAUAGCUAACUAGGGGUGAGACUAAUCACGGUGAAUCUGGUCGACCGCCCAUAACCGCGGGCACGGCUAUUCGAAUAGUUUUACUCUGAUCAGAGGUGUACAACUGUACCCACAAGACACAGCCCCAUGACACGUUUCCGUGCACCGACAUGCCACCACAACAUACCGGAAAGAGGCCGUGACAGGACCCUUCGCAUAACCCCCUCUAACCGAUCGCACCACACCUCAGGGUUCGCCCCCGUUCCCAGCAGGCAACGGGCAGCCCCUCUCUCGUGCCGCGGUGAAUCCGGAAGCCGAUCAACCGGACACCCCGGCCGACCCAACUCCAUCACACCCACCCUCGCCUGGGUACGUCGGCCACAGGAAAGCUACACUACAAGCCCAGCCGUUGCCCACGCUGGCUUGUGGUAAGUACGAUAAGUUCUUCCAGGGCAUUCCGCGAACCGGUCCUUAAUCGCCAUGGGCAUGACUAGCAAAACCAUGCACCCACAGUCCACUAGGUAGUGUAUUUUAAUUAACUAACACCAUUGCGGUGGCACUAAUCUAAAGCUAUGCCAAUAAUCAAUGUCUAUGCUUUAAUGUGAUCCCGCUUUGUGGUCUAGUAGAACUAAGCAUGGCUAAGCAUUUCCUAAACCAUCUAGUCAUUUUAAUACCCAAGUUAAACAAUAUAUGGCUGAGUAGUAGGACCCAUCAAACAUGAUAUUGUAAAAGAAUGCAACAUUUAAUAGAAAUGCGGGACAUUUGUAAAUUGGGUACAAUAUGAUCAAUUGUAAUGCAUGACUUGCCUUGCUCUUGCACUAGUGAGACCACAACGACGUCUUCGAGAAACCGCGGAUCGACGGAACGGUCGAAAUCUACGCGACAAACAAAGCACACAAGCAAAACAUGCUAUAAGUCUACUGAAACAGGAAACAAAACCAUUUUUAAUGGAUUCUAUACAUUUUUAUGAAUUUACUGAGACUUGAAUGGACUUAAACGGAGCUCGGAUGAAUUAGAUAUGAAUUUUAGAAGAUUAUCUGUGUUUCUACUAUUAAAGAAAAGUCUUAUUGAUUUAUUGCGCAAUAAAGCAUCCCAGGCUGACGUCACCCAAGGGGGGGGUGGCGCCGACAUGCGGGACCCACGGGUCAGUGACACAAGAGGAGGAGGAGGUGACCUGGCGGGUGGGUCCCACCAGGCAGCGGUCCAAGGGAGGGGAGGUGGCGCCUGGCUCGGCUCGGCUCGGCUCCAAACCGGCAGGCCAUGGAGGGGCGGCGGCGCGCGCAGAGCUGGCGGCGGCAUGCGGUUGCCGGCGACGGCGACCGUCGGCGGGAGGCAGCGGCGGCCGGCACGAAGGCGGCGGCGCGGCAAAGAGAGAGAGAGAGGGAGGGAAAGGGAGGGAGACCGAUCCUCACCGAGGGGCUCGGCCGGCGCGGGGGAGGAGCGACGGUGAACGAUGACGAUGAGUGACGGGAGGACGACGACGAUGGGCGGACGUGCUUCGGGACCACCUAGGGGACAAAAUGGGAGGGAUUAGAGGGAGAAGGGUGGUCUACGGCGAGCGGAUUCGCCCGGCGAAGGCGGCGGCCAUGGUGGUGCUCACCGGCACGCGAGGAGAACGGAGCUAUGGCGACGAUUUGCGUCAACCGAGUGUUGGACGGGGUAGCCCUCGCAACGGCGAAGCUAGUGGCGGUGGUUGCGCGGCGUGGCGACAAUGCUAGCGGUGGCGGCGCGCGGCCGGAGAGUGGCGGCAGCGGCGGCGCUAGGGGAGAGCGGCGCGGCGGCGAUAGAGGCCUCGGGAGAGAGCGGCGACAAAAGGAAAAAGAUAGAGGGGGGUGCGGAGGACCUUUAUAGGGGCUCGGUAGGAGCGGACGUGGCCGGGGGGCACCCGAUUUUCGCCGGCAACGUGGGAGGCGGAGAGAGAGAGAGAGUAGGGGGAUUCAAACCGAAUCUCGCCCUUUUUGGGUGCACGGCGCGGGCGGGAAGGCGAGGCCGUGGGCGGCGACGUGGCGUGGGGUGGGGCGCGGGGUGGAGCGCCAGAGGAGCGGCGAAAGCGGCGAUGUGGGCGGCGGUUUUGGCGGCGGUUGCCGCCGGGCUGGAGGUAGGGGAAAGGACUGACAGGUGAGCCCCACCUGUCAGAGCCCGGGGGAGUGAGGGGAGGCGGCCUGGACUUUGGGAGGGAGCGGUAGAGAUAGGCCGGCGGCCCAUGAUGAAAGGAGAGGGAGGGAAAAAAAAGGAGAAAAAGAAGGGGAAAAGGAAAAAGGGGAUUUUCUGGGGAUUCUUUAAUGCUUGUGCUCCUUUUUAAUUGGUUAAAAUUAUUUCUUGGGCUCUGAAAAUUCCACUAAAGAUCCUGUUAGCAUAUUCUGACAUGUAGAAUCCAAGAAAAAUUCAACAAGCCAAUUCCGAUUAUUAUUUGCAUUUAUUAAUUUAGGGAUUCAACUCUAGGUUAAAUUAAACAAUUUCUUCGGACGAUUUAUUUUAUGAACUUUAAAGCAAGGAGGAGAAUUUCAGAGCGUGACAGAUAUGCCUGGCAUUCCUAGAGAGGUGAUUGAACACUCUUUACAUGUUAAGGAAGAUGCUAAACCUAUCAAGCAAUGACUCCACCAUUUUGCACAAGAUAGGAAGGACGCGAUCAAGGAGGAAUUGACCAAGCUGUUAGCAGCAGGCUUCAUCAAGGAAGUCCUUCAUCUUGACUGGCUGGCCAACCCAGUCCUAGUUCGGAAGAAGACGGGACAAUGGCGCAUGUGUGUUGAUUACACCGACCUCAACAAAUCUUGUCCCAAGGAUCCCUUCGGGUUACCUCGUAUUGACCAGGUAGUUGACUCAACGGCCGGCUGCGAGCUACUCAGUUUUUUGGAUUGCUACUCAGGAUAUCAUCAGAUCCGACUAAAGGAGUCCGACUGCUUAAAGACUUCAUUUAUUACACCCUUCGGGGCCUAUUGCUACAUCACCAUCCCUUUUGGAUUAAAGAAUGCAGGGGCAACUUAUCAACACAUGAUCCAGAGAUGCUUUUCAACUUAGAUAGGUCGUAACGUUGAAGCUUAUGUUGAUGAUGUAGUCGUCAAGACCAAGCAGAAGGAUGAUUUGAUUACGGAUCUAGAAGAGACCUUUGCGAGCAUCCGCGCCUUCAGGAUGAAAUUAAACCCUGAAAAGUGCACUUUCGGAGUACCGUCAGGGAAGUUGCUUGGCUUUAUGGUAUCCCAUAUGGGCAUGCAAGCCAACCCGGAGAAAAUCAACGCCAUCCUCAACAUGAAACCGCCGAGCUCCCAGAAAGACGUUCAAAAGUUAACUGGUUGCAUGGCGGCGCUCAGCCAGUUCGUCUCACGACUCGGCGAGCGGGGGUUGCCCUUUUUCAAGCUGCUAAAGAAAACCGACAAUUUCCAGUGGGGACCCGAAGCACAAAAAGCCUUUGAAGACUUCAAGAAACUUCUCACCACUCCACCGGUCUUAGCUUCGCCACAUUCGCAAGAGCCGCUGUUGUUAUACGUGUCGGCAACUUCCCAGGUUGUGAGCACGGUUCUGGUUGUUGAGCGUGAGGAGGAAGGCCACGUUCAAAAAGUCCAACGACCAAUUUAUUUCGUUAGCGAAGUUUUGGCCGACUCCAAGACAAGAUAUCCUCAGGUUCAAAAGCUGUUGUAUGGCGUUUUGAUUACUGUUAGGAAAUUAUCUCAGUAUUUUCAAGGUCACUCGGUUACGGUGGUUACAUCGUUUCCACUCAGGGAUAUACUUCACAAUCGCAAAGCAAAUGGGUGGAUCGCAAAGUGGGCCUUAGAGUUGAUGUCUUUAGAUCUAUCCUUCAAGCCGCGAACUUUGAUCAAGUCCCAAGCUUUAGCAGACUUCGUCGCCGAGUGGACCGAGUGCCAAGAAGACAUGCCUGUGGAGAAGAUGGAGUAUUGGACUAUGCAUUUUGACGGGUCAAAGAGGCUUUCAGGCACCAGAGCGGGGGUUGUUCUAAUUUCCCUGACUGGAGAAAGGCUGAGCUACGUAUUGUGGAUACAUUUUUCUACGUCUCACAACGUGGCAGAAUAUGAGACGCUUCUUCACGGAUUAAGGAUUGCGAUCUCCUUGGGAAUUCGGCGUCUGAUAGUUCGUGGAGAUUCUUAGUUGGUUGUUAAUCAAGUCAUGAAAGAGUGGUCCUGCCUUGAUGAUAACAUGACCGCCUAUCGGCAGUAGGUACGCAAGUUAGAAGAUAAAUUCGAUGGCCUUGAGCUAACCCACGUUCUUCGACAUAAUAAUGAGGUAGCCGACAGACUGGCUAAUUUUGGUUCAAAACGAGAGGCAACUCCUUCCGACAUGUUCGUUGAACAUCUUUAUGAGCCAACCGUACCAAGGAAAAAAAUAAUCGAGGCCACGGACACUCAAGAAGUAAGCAUGAUUGAAGCCGACUGGAGAGAGCCCCUCAUGAGAUUUUUGACCAAACAAGAACUCCCUCAAGAUAAAAACGAAGUCGAGCGGAUCUCCAGGCGCAGCAAACUUUAUGUCAUACAUGAGACCGAGCUGUACAAGAAAAAUCCAUCAGGGAUCCUGCAACGCUAUGUGUCUUUGGAGGAAGGAAGACAAUUGCUAAGGGAUAUAUAUUCAGGCAUAUGUGGCAAUCAUGCUAUCGCACGAACCAUUGUUGACAAGGCCUAUCGGCAGGGUUUUUUCUGGCCCACAGCUGUAUCCGAUGCUGACAAAAUCGUGCGAACAUGUGAGGGUUGCCAAUUUUUCGCCCGACAGACUCAUCUACCAGCUCAAGAGUUGCAAACCAUCCCGUUAUCUUGGCCGUUCACGGUUUGGGGGCUCGACAUGGUCGGCCCGUUUAAAAAGGCUAUCAGUGGUUAUACUCAUGUCUUUGUAGCUGUUGACAAAUUUUCCAAGUGGAUCGAAGCCAAACCGGUCGUCACAAUCACGACAGACAAGGCUAGAGAUUUUUUCAUCAACAUUGUGCACCGGUUUGGGGUACCCAAUCGGAUCAUCACUGAUAACGGCACUCAAUUCACUGGCGGAGUAUUUAAAGAUUUUUGUGAAGACUUCGGCAUCAAAAUUUGUUAUGCCCCCGUAGCGCAUCCCAUGAGUAAUGGACAAGUUGAACGCGCCAAUGGUAUGGUACUUCAAGGAAUAAAAGCACGAGUUUUUGACCGAUUGCGUCCCUAUGCUGGCAAAUGGGUAGAACAAUUGCCAUCUGUCCUUUGGUCCCUGCGCACCACACCCAGUCGGGCUACGGGACAGUCACCGUUCUUUCUAGUCUAUGGUGCAGAAGCAAUGCUGCCAAGUGAAGUAGAAUUCGAAUCUUUGCGAUUUCGUAACUUCAGCGAGGAGCGCUAUGGAGAAGACCGAGUAGAUGAUCUCAACCGACUGGAAGAAGCCCGUGAAGCAACCUUAAUUCAGUCGGCUCGGUAUUUACAAGGGAUGCGCCGUUAUCACAAUCGCAAUGUUCGAUCACGAGCUUUCUUAGUCGGCGACCUGGUUCUGAGGAAAAUUCAAACUACACGAGAUCGGCACAAGUUAUCUCCCUUGUGGGAAGGACUGUUCAUAGUUUCUGAAGUUACUCGGCCAGGUUCUUAUUGACUCAAACGUGAAGACGGUACUCAUAUCGACAACUCUUGGAAUAUCGAACAUCUUCGUCGUUUUUAUGCUUAGGCAUUAUUUUUUGUAUCUUCUUCUUUGACUGUUAACAUCAAGUUCUUACUUGAGUUAUCAGUCGGGGGCUACUAUAAUAAUAAUGGAGUGUGAUUUUUAUCAAUUCAAUUUGCUUACUUGAUUUAUCAUUGCCUUGUUUGAUUUUUUGGCUUAGUUAAUGAGGACUGAAAGUUUUUAACAGCUUUUGCGGGUUCUAGGCUCAGUAAGGUUUGACAAAAACUUUUAAGAAAUCAGGAGCUGAGUUUAAAUCAUCAAGCACAACAUAAAUUCAUCAGUAUUGUACAAAUUGUGCCUCCAUCAUCAUCAUCAUUGUCAGAAUACAAUAUCAAUCAGUUUCAGUCUUUUCAUCGUCAGAGUUAUUAGAUCUAGUCGGCCAGAGGUCGUUGUCCUGGAAUCUCUCAACAACAUCAGCAGCUAUCUUGUCGGCAGCUUUCUGCGUGUCAUUGAUGAGGUCAAGAGUGGCUUCUUCGCUUGUCCCGUCUGCAAAGCCAUCAAUGGCAUCAAUAUCAAUCUUCGGGUACAAGGACUUGGUCAUUGCCAACGCCAGGCCUGCUCCCAUACUUCCAGCUUCCUUGAUAUUCUUAAAAUAUGUAUCCGGAGCAAUUCUCAGCUUGUCGAAGAUUUCGGCAGCAACAAAUGAGCUCGGACCAUUGUUGUUAUAAAAAACAUGGCUUGGACGAGUGGUGUAGCGGCGUUGGCGACCUCAUCUCUAGCUCCCUCAAGCCUCUUGAUUUUGUUAAGCAAGACGUCGAACUGAGCUUGGGAUUUGAUUUUGCGAUCUGCACAAGUAGAUUCACAUCAACGAGUGGGCAUGAAGAUAAGAGUGGUUUUUUGAUGUUCCAGCUACAAGUAUCUUCGACAUCUUUUAGAGCUGAGUCCCUCUGCUUCGUUAGUUCGCCCUUAUUUUUUUCUAGAGCCUUGAUUCGCCUUUCCAGCUCGGAUAUCUUGGCAGCUUGCACUGUAUUGCUUCUCAUUGGUUAGUUGCACAUGGAUAGCGGUACGAAACAAGUCAGAUAAGGAUGAGAUUUACCUUUUAAUGAACCGCUCAGCUCAAAGUUGGAGUCUUGAAGCUCGGCAGUCCGAUCUCUGAGGUCAUGCUCAGUCUUCCUGGCAAGCUCUUUGGCUUCACGCAGCUGGUCUCUGGUUGCUUCAAGGGUUCCAAGGUGGGGAACUAAUUUUUCGAGGGUUGCGGUCUUCGCCUCAUUCCUAAGAUGGAUUCUCUGCACCGCAAAUUUAUCUUUGUUCAAGUAAAGUGGCCGACAGGAUGAUUGAGGCUGCGUAUAGGGAGAGUUACAUUUACAAGAUGAGUAGAUUGGCCGAGUGUCUUUUUCAGCAGACAUACUUCCUCGUCUUCCUUUUGUUUAUUUAUCACGAUUCCCUGUGGUUGCAUUUCAUCAUCCCACCACUUGACUAAUAUGGGUGGGCGAGAAUCUUCACCUGAUCGUAUCUGGAGGACCUCUUCUUCAUUACCGAUCAUUGGCCCUUAUAUAUUCAUGAAUAAUGGUGAAGCAAUUGAAGAAAGUUUGUCGGAUCAAGACAGAUUUGGAGGACUUGUUUACCCAUUAUAAUUUCCGGUCGGGGACGAGCAGGUCCUUGCACCCUAACAGGAGAGUUAGUUCCAGGGUCAGCAGCAGCGUCCGUCUUGGGAGGGCUGUUGGCUUGAGCUUCCACUUCUGGGAUAUCUCUAUUUUGUUCUGUACCCAACUGGUUUCCAGUCGGGGGCUCUUGAUCAGCACCGACUUCAGCUUCGGCUGACUGGUUUCCAGUCGGGGGCUCGUUGCUAGUAUCUAUAUUGCCGGUUGCCGGUUGAUUAUUACCUGGGCGGUCUUCAGCAGUUGGCCCAGUUUCUGCUGAAGGACUAGUCUCUGUGCCAGUCGGCAUGGGGUCUUUUCCAGAGGGAUCUAUGUCAGAUGGUUUCCUACAAAUUUGAGACAUGCUAUCAGCUUUGCUUCAAUAGUGAGUGACUAGCGAAACAGGGGAAAUUGCUAGAUGACACAUACCUGGAUGACUUCCUUAUUUUUGGCAUGGGACGACUGGACGUUUUCUUCUUCGGAUUGGCUUGCUUUGGCUGUUUCCCAAUCACCCCUUUGUUGUCCGUCUUUUCCGCGUCAUCACCUUCAUCGUCACUUGAAACCAACUUCCUCUUACGAGAAUCUGACUGGUUAGUUGACCUCGAGGUGUUGGGUUGGACGUCCGACUGGAUCUUCGGCCCUCCACUGGCUUGGCCAGUGUGCCGGCGAGGUGAGCGGCGUUGAGCAAUUGGAGUAUCGGAUUUCAUCAAAGCGAAUUCCUGUGCAUGGUAUUCCAAGUUUUCAGUCGACCUUACAGAAGAUAAAAGCAUGCUUUGAGAAAGGCUAAGGUGUAUAAUACAUACCGGUGGAGGAGGGUUGAACGUAUUGUAUGGCACGACUAGCAAUAAGUGUGAAUAGCUGACCACAAUGGCAUUCGAGAAGAUUUUGUACAUUCUCUCCUACAUAAUUUUGAACUCAAGAGACUCUGGGUUCUCUCGGUUGGGGUCAUGCUUGCCAUCAAACUCAAAAGCUGUGCGGGAUCUCUCCUUGAUUGGCGCCAGCCGGCUCUUGAUAAAGUGCCGGGUGAUUUGCUCUCCUUGCAGACCCUGUUCUUUAAGCUUCAGCAUGCGAUCCAAUAAGUCAAGCGCUUGGGCAGCCUCUUCUCCCAUAGAAAGUGAGUUCCAGGUAUCGCGAUAUACUGGAGGCAGACAGGAGUAUCCGGGAAGCGCUGGCUUGGGGUUUUGCACAUAGAACCAGUUCGCGUGCCAACCUUUGUUCGAGGUCUUGAAGGGCAUGGAGAAGUAUUUUUGGCUCAAGGUCCCCCUCAGUUGAAAUCCGGCUCCCCCAACUACGCACGGUUUGCUCUUAUUUGGCUGGGGCUUGAGGAAGAAGAUGCGGCGAAAUAGAGCAAAAUGUGGCCUAAUCCCCAGAAAAGCCUCGCAAGCGUGGAUGAAAUUGGCGAUGUGGACUAUGGAGUUGGGGUUUAGGUGAUGCAAACUGAUCCCAUAGAAAUCCAAAAUCGCCCGAAAGAAACUUGAGGUUGGAACAGAAAACCCGCCGUAGAAGAAAUGGGAGAACAGCACCACCUCGUGUGUGUCGGGGGUCGGAAAUGUUUCACCGCAUGCUGGACGCCACCCGAUGAUCUCCUUUGCCGGAAGAACGCCGUGCGCCACCAUCUCCUUCAGGUUUUCCUCCGUUACAUCGGAGGGCGCCCACUGACUCUCAAAGCUUUCUCUCUCUUCCGCCAUGGAUGCGAACUGGAUGAUGUGAUUUGGUUCGAAAUGUGGCUGGGAAUGGAUGGGAGAUUGAUGCGGUGGUUGCGUGGGAGAUUCUUGUGGAGUUUUGGAGGAUGGAUUGGAGCGAAUCUGUGAACCCUAGCUUCGCGGGCGCGGUUUCACACCGUAGCAGAGAAUUGGGAAAGUGGCAAGAGUUUCGGCGGGGAAGACGAACCGACGCUUUGCUUUCGGUGUUAUUUCAUUAGGGUAUCGGGAGUACUAAUGGGCCUAGGCCUAAACAGUACUUCAGCCCAAUUUUGCUAUCUCGUCGUGUCUAAGUUGUGAUCCUUAGGGACUUAGGCAUUUUGCUUCGGCAACACUUGCUCACAACAGUAUAGCCCAAUGCUGUUAAAAUCCUUUUUGACGUAGUUAGAUAAUUCUUUGGAAUUACUACGAUGCAAAUAAAAAGGUGCCCAACGGAAAAGUGUUAUACUAAUUUUGUAAGCCUUUUUAGGCUGCAAAAGCUGUUCGGGUUUUGUUGAGAUGACUGGUUUUUGAAUGGUCAUUCUCUUGGCAUGUUAUAUGCUUAUUUUGAUAUGGUGUGAGUCAUAGCUUAGGCAAUUUAGAUUCACCUAUUGUCAUGAUUUAUACCACAUUUGAUGGAUCUUUUUCGAGAGUUUUUACUAGGAUUCUUAUCAUAUGUGUUGAUUUAUAAACCUUUAGAGUGUUUCUCACUCGGGACUUUUUAUAUCUCCUUUUCUGGUGUAUCAAAGCUAAAGCAGUCGGCUGGAUGUUUUAUUAAACGUCGCAUAUGCUUGGCUGUGUGAUACCAUGGAUGAUCCGGUUGUAAAACCACUCGGUUGGAUGUUAUUUGCACCUUGGCUAUAUGCUUAGUUUUUAACUAAUCACAUAGUCGGAGGCUACACCUAAUUAGGUGCAUCUAAUUGAUGCACCUGAUUGUUUCUAUUUCUAGCCCUUCACAGUCUUUGAUCUUAGUACUCGGGAGGCCAAAGCAGAAGAAGUUGGAGCACUCGCAUUAUCCUUUUGGAUUACGAGAGAAGACUAUUUCAUCGACUGUAAAGGUCUCAGGGGCUACUAUGGAGAUUAUGGAUACCCCAUACCUACACGGCAUGUAUAGUCCGACUAGGUAUGGGGUGCCAUGUGUAGAUAGAAUAUCUUUAAAGGGACUCGGGUUAAAUUCCAAACUUGUACGUCAAGGAAAUGCGCGUGAUCCUAGUCGGUUACGAUUGUAUCUUAUCUGUAACUACCUAUUCCGUUAGGGAUAUGGAUUGUGUUUUGUAAUACGGACCACUUCCCCUAUAUAAGGAGGGGUCCGGGUGCCUCUAGGGGCACGAUUUUCUCCCAGAUCAUACGAUCAAUAAUAUACUCGGCGGAUCAAUCCCCGGACAGGAGUAGGGUAUUACUUCUUGAUUAAGAAGGCCUGAACCUGUAUAAAAUUCCUUGUCUUUCAACCCAUCAACUUUUCUAGCUUGAUAGCCACCCCCUUUUAGUAUUGCUGAAAUCUUGUUUCGACACCGUCGUUGCCGUGCCGGAAGAUCCAGCCACCCGAAUGAGAGGUAUGCUAGCCGUCACCGCCCUCUUCUUCCCUUUCAUCUCCAUGUGGCCACCGCUUCCCUCUCCUUUACGCUCUCCAUUCCGCUCGGUGAGGUGCGGCGAUGGUCUAGGCCUCCCCACCGAUGGAUCCGACUGCCCUCGCUCUGGGCUCCAGCGUCGAGGAUGUCCUGCCUAGCACGCGUUCGUGCCCACGCUCCCUCGGCUUCUCCAUACACCCGUUGAUCUCGUGCCUACCCUAACGACUAGAUGACGAGUUGGCAUCUCCUUGGUCUUCAUUGCGUCCCUUGCAUGCGAUUCUGCAGCCAAACGGUGGGCUCGACACUAGCAAGGUCGUGCUCGUGCCGUCACUUCCUCUGGUACCUCCAAUCUCUCCUCUAGCUCUUACCUCCUCUCUUAUGCCAAAGGCUUCCUCCCGAUUGACAACCCUUCUUUCGCAGAGGCAACAAGGAUGCCCCGUAUGGUUCUUUGCUCGCAGUUGGGGCUUUCGUUCAUUAUAUCAAGCUUAGGAUACCUUUGAAAUGUAUGCAAUGAUUCUCUUUGGUUGCUAAGGUAAAGUUCUUUUUGGGCUGAUUCAGUUCAUAUUAUGUACACAAGAAACAUAAUAGUGCUGAUCUAGCUCAAAGCCUUUUAGACCAUACUAUAAAUGUCCUACUGUUCGUUGUUUAUUUAUCAGUGCUUAUUAAGCUUCUCUAAAUGCAAGUAUCCCUCCCAGUGCAUAUGAAGUGGAACAUGUCUAUGUAAGUUCUGUUUUGCCUCGAUACGAAUCAAUUACGUUGUUUGAACAUCAUAUGAAGUCAUUGUAACCUAUUUAGAACUGGAAUUUUAACAAAGAUUGUCAUAUGAGGUGCAUGAUAAAGUCUUUGUCCCCUAAUUUGGUUCCUCUUCUUAGCUAGAGGUAUACUAAGAAAUACUAGCUAGGUUCUCUCUUUACGAGCACUAAUGCAUUUUUGGGAAGUAUGAUAUCUCAUCUGAGGUGUGUGAAUUCAGGCAAUAAAGAAAAACAUAUACUACUGUUAUAGUUUUUGUUUACAAUUGAAAUAGUUAUUGAUAACAGAAAUAUGCUUAACAUGCUACAAGCAUAGUCAUAUUGCUAAAAUGUGACAUUUCAUAUUGAAGACUAUGGCCCUGUUUAGAUCCCACCCCAAAAUUUUUCACCCUGUCACAUCGAACGUUUAAACACCUGUAUGAAGCAUUAAAUAUAGGCUAAAAAAAUAACUAAUUGCACAGAUUGCGACUAAUUUGCGAGACGAAUCUUUUAAGCUUGAUUGCUCCAUUAUUUGACAAUGUGGUGCUAAAGUAAACAUUUGCUAAUGACGCAUUAAUUAGGCUUAAUAUAUUUGUUUCGUGGUUUGCUGACGGAUUCUGUAAUUAGUUUUUUUGCUAGUGCCCGAACACCCCAUGCGACACCCUAUAUAAUACGCAAUGUGAUAUGCCAAAACUUUACACCCCUGGAUCUAAACACUCCCUAUAUAUUAUUUGAGCAACUACCUGUGUUCCAAAACUAUCAAAUAUUUCAUUUCAAAUGGUCAGGUAGGCUUUCAGUUAUUUACAGCUAGUUGGGAUAGUAGGAUAUUGGAUGAGGUAGUUCUUAUAAUGUAGGAACUACAAUCCAUUGAUAAUGUUUGGAACUUACUGACAAUGAUAGUGGACAUACUGAUAUUUGAAUAGUGUCCCAUGUGUUUUAUUGCUAAUUUUUGUUUACACAAAUCAUUCAUAAUAGUUGGGAAAUACUGCUAGCCCAAUGCGUUAUGGGGAACAAAAGCAAUUGUUGCUUUCUCAUGAAAAUGAUGUAAUUAUUUGGAACCAAUGUGGAAUAUUUAUUCUCCUUCAAGUUUUGUCUGAAUAUACAACAGAUGGAUAUAAAGUUGAAACCACUUUCUAUGCAUGAAACACUUAUUUUUCUUCUUUUUAGGCAAGUUUAUGGAGGAAGCUACACUUUGUCGUGAAGAUCAGAGUUUAGUUUAUUUGCUUAUUUCCACUGCGUUUGUAAGAAUUAUUUAUUAUUUUUGUAUGAUGUGGAUCUCUGUAUCAAUUUGUCGUUUGUGUACUCUGGCUGGUCCUGGACAGAGAUUUUAAUACACAUUCUGCUUGAAAUUCGGGUUAGCGAAUUUCUAGGCGUGACACUGACCGGGCCCACCAGGGUUCGGCCGAACUAGGACAGCGCCCAAUCGCCCCCAAAAUUUGAACACUCGAUCUGCCUACUCUGUCAACAGUAGAAACUGAAUCAUUCGUGCGGUAGCUCGUUGGAUCGACCCAGUUCAUUAAAAUCUCUCUCUUGUUCAUCUCCCUGUCCACUCCACCUUAUCCAUUCAAGCCACUACUCUCUUUAGCUCGAAUCCAUAAGUCCAGUCCAUACCCAAGAUCUUCAAUGGCUGGGAAAUCCUUGAUUCCGUAUGGUGCUACAUGCUGAAACGCAUUUGAUCUCAAUGGAGAGCCCUCUCCGGCGAAUCAAUUGGUUUCGGGAGAAAACUGGGCGAUGGAAGAGGCAAAUGCGAUCUUCAUAGACCCCCUGGACACCAUCGCGGUGGACUCCAUGAGUAUGCGGCCGAUCGGCGCUGCUCCUAGUUUAGCCGAACCUAGGUCGGCCGAACCCUGGUCGGCCUCGAUCAACCCCCUGUUUGGCCGCUCGCCCAGUCUCGCCACGCUACAAAACUCCGACUAAAGUACGGGGUGUUUCCCAAGCGCAGAGGCCGACGACAGGAGAAUUGGGUCUACUAAAGCGAGCACGAUGACUUUUUGAAGACAAGGAGAAGGCCACAUCUCCCGCCAGCGAGCAUUAUGUGGGAUCUCUUGAUGUGACUGUCACACCCCGAAGUUCUCCUCCCAAGCCAAAAAUUUAAUUUAUAAGCGACCCUAAGAAAAAAACCGGUGCAAAGCAAGAGUAAACCCUUUUAAAUCAAUGCAAAUAAUAAUCGAAUCUGACAUGUGGAAUUUUUUCUUGAGUUCUACAUGUCGAAAUUCACUAACAGGAUUUUUAGUGGAAUUUUCAGAGCCCUAGAAAUAAUUUUAACCAAUUAAAAUUGGGCAAGCAAUAUUCUAAUUCCAGGAAAAUCCUUUUCUCCUUUUUCUUUUUCUUUGUCCCUCCCUUUUUCGGAUGGGCCGCCGGCCCAUUCUCUCCUUUUCUCUCCCUCCUCCCUACUGGGCCGACCGCAGGCCGAGACCCAGCCAAGCCGCCCCUCCCUCUCUCCCCGGGACGCCGACAGGUGGGCCCCACCUGUCGGACCCGUCCCCUUCCUCCAGCCGCGCCCGCAACCGCCGCAAACGCCUCCGCCUUCUCCGGGCCACGUCAGCCACGUCCGCGCGUGCGCCGCAUCUCCCACGCCCACUCCCCUCUCUCUCCCGCCCGCGCCCGCGCCCGAGAUGGCCGGGAUUCGAUUUUCGAAUCCCGCCUCUCUCUCCUUCCUCACUCCCCACGUUGGCCGGCGAAAUCCCGCCUCUCCCGGCCACGUCCGGCCCUCCCCUCCCCUAUUUAAGCUUCCCCGUCACUCCCUCUUGCUUUUUCCCCAUUUCGCCGAACUCUCCCGAGCUCCCCAUCGCUCCUGCGCCGUGCAACCACCCGCCGCCGCCGUUUUCGCUACUCCGGCCGCCGCUAGCCGCCGCUAGGGUCGCCGCCGCACCGCGCCGUCGCCGCCGUCGGGUUCGCGAGGCUAAGCUCCACCCCGGCCGCCCCUUCCCCGUCGAGUUUCGUCGCCGGAAUUCGCAUCCCCUCACGCUCCGGUGAGUUCAACCGCUACCGCCGCUUUCGGCCAUGGAUACCGGUCGCCGUGGUUCAUCUCCCUCCCUCUAAUCUCUCUCGUCUCCUUCUUUAGGGCACCCCGAAUCCCGUCCGCCGGUGGCCGUCGUCCUCCCGUGGCUCGCCGUCGCCAUUCGCCGUCGUCUUCCUCCGCGCCGGCCACCCUCGGUGAGGCGCCCUCUCCCUUCUAUUCCCCUCCCUCUCCCUCCUAGCCGCCGCUUUAGCGCCGCCGCCCGUUAGCCGUCGCUUUAGCACCACCGCCCAUCGGCGCCGCCUUUGCGCCGCCGUCGGUUGCCGUCGCCGGCAACGCGCGUGCGCGCGCCGUCGCCGUCGCCUUGGCCGCUUGGCCGGCCUUGAGCCGAGCCGGGUCGCCGCCGCCCGUCCGAUCGACCCCGAGGGCGAUCUGGGCCGUCGGUUCCGUGGACUGGCGGUGGACCACCCGCGUGGUCCCGGUCCACGGUGAACCGCCCUCCCCCUUGAGUCGCUGACCGGUGGGUCCCGCUUGCCGGCGCCCCUUCCUCCCUCUCCCGAGCCGCUGACCGGUGGGGCCCGCUUGCCGGCGCCGCGCCCCGCCUUGAUGACGUCAGCCCUGGGAUUUAUUGCGCAAUAAAUGAUUUAAGGUUUUUCUUUUAUAGUAAUAAACACAGUGAAUCUUCUAAAAUUCAUAACUAAUUCAUCCGAGCUCCGUUUAAGCCCAUUCAAGUCUCAGUAAAUCAAGAAAAAUGUGUAGAAUCCAUUAAAAAUAGUUUUGUUCCCUGUUUCAGUAGUCUUAUAGCCUGUUUGCAAUGUUUGCUUUGUAUGUCGCUAGAUUCCGGUUCCUCCGACACUCCGGUGUACUUCGAAAUAGUCGCCGAGGUUCCUCCAGCAGCAGAGCAAGGCAAGUCAUGCUUGUCACUUGAACAUGUUGAUCCUAUAUUGCAAAUGCUCUAUUGUUUUUCUUCAAAUAUUGCAUUGUUUUAUAAUGUUACUAUGGGAUGUUUACCUAUUGUCAUAGCCAUGCUAUUGUUGUACCAUGUCCCUUUGUAACCUUGGGGUUAUAACAUGACUAGAGAUUGGACUAGGGAUUGCUUAGCCAUGCUUAGUUCAACUAGUGCACAAUGGGGAAAAUUCUAUUAAUGUUUAGACUGCUGGUUCUAAUGGUAUUGUUGGAUUAGUGCCACCGCUUUGGUGUUGGUUAAUUAAAAUAAAUCACAUGGUGGGCUGUGGGUGCAUGGUUUUGAUGGUCGCACCCAUGGCAGUUAAGGACCGGUUCGCGGGAUGCCCUGGAAGAACUUAUCGUACUUACCACAAGCCAGCGUGGGCAACGGCUGGGCUUGUAGUGUAGCUUUCCUCUAGCCGACGCAUCCAGGCAAGGGUGGGCGUGAUGGGGUUUGGAUGGGCCCUGCGACGGCCUAUACGGCUUCCGGAUUCACCUAGGCACGAGAGGGGACUGCCCGCUGCCUUGCGAGGAGUGGGGGUGAAACCUGAGGUAUGAUGUGCUUGGUUAGAGGGGGUUAUGCGAAGGGUCCUGUCAUGGCCUCUUUCCGGUAUGUCGUGGUGGCAUGUCGGCGCACGGAAACGUGUCGUGGGGCUGUGUCUUGUGGGUACAGUUGUACACCUCUGAUCAGAGUAAAACUAUUCGAAUAGCCGUGCCCGCGGUUAUGGGCGGUCAACCAGAUUCACCGUGAUUAGUCUCACCCUAGUUUAGUCUUUUGAAAUUUGAUAGUAUAGGUGGAUGGUUGGGCCUGUCGCAACGUGGUAUAGCGUUGGACAGUGGAUGAUUAAUAUUAAUUAAUUAUUACGACUGUUUUCUUCUUUAAACUUCUGUUUAUAAAUGCUCGCUUUAUGCAAAUGAACCACUCUAGCUCUUCUUUGAUAAUUCCCUGCAUCAUACCCCUAUUCCGGUAUGACUUCUGAGUACAGUGGGUAGUACUCAGUCUUGCUCUAUUUUUCCCAACCCCAGAGCACGAGUAUGUGUCAGAUGAAGGUUUCUCCGAGGAGUAGGCUUCGUCCGUGCCGUCGAGGAUGCCUGUGGAGUGGUGUUCCCGCUGCAGAUCUAGUCAAGGCUUAGCUCCUGUUGUCUUUCGUUUUCCGCUGCAUUUAUGUAAGACUUUUAUGAUGUUUGUAAGACGUGGAUCUGAAUGUCAACAUUGACGUGGAUCUGAAUGCACAUUCUGCUUGGAAUUCUAUUCGGGAAUUUCUAGGCGUGACAGUGACCAUGGCUACUAUGGAUACAACCAUAGCUCACAUCAUGGAUGAACCAGAAGAUAUCAAGAUCAAGUCCUCCAAGUGUUGGAAUCCGAUUCGGCCAACUGCUACACUGCUGACUUCAAACGGUCGCCGAAUCUGCAUACGACCUCCGUUUUCGGUCCGCGAGUACUUGAUGGAAAUAUCUCGGAGCCCUCUUUCCAACGGAUCUAGCCUCAUCACCAAAUUCCAUGUAGUUUGGCCGCAAUCACAUAAACAAGGUGUUGUGUCACUUGUCUUGGGCCUCUGGGCUUGUAACUUUGUUUAGGACCCCAGCCCAGGUGGGGCCCAUGUAAGGGUGCAUCCCAUCCAGGUGGAGAACGACCCUUGGCACCCCAUGGUCAUCCUCCCACCCCUAUAAAUAGAUAGGUACCCCUUCAGGGUUUCUCGGGUUUUAUUAGAUUAAAGUUUUUCCAUUGCUACUUCCUUGCAGCACGCGUGUCGGCUAGACCGUCCAUCUGCUUGUUCUUCGGAACACCAACUUAUCAUUUGUAUUCAAUUCCUAUUUGCAAUAUCAGAUUGCUUUUAUCUUGUUCUUGCUUGUUUCUUCGAUUUGCUUGCAGGAAUAGGGUUGAUCUGCACCGGCAAAAUCAACUACCCACGGAGAGGUGUAUCGAUCGCUAAGGUGCAACGCAACGUCUUGUACGAUUGUAGUCGGAUCAUCAACGUUUCUCCCAAAUCGUAGUUAUCUCAACUCACCGAAAGAUCGGCCAACAACAGCCUUGAGUGUCGAGUGGAAUUCAGGGUUCAUCAGGUGGUAUCAAAGCUUUUGUUGCUCAGUGAGUUUUUAUCUGCCUAUAACCGGAAAAUAGCCAGACAAAAAAAGUUAGUAUCAUUUACCUAGCCAUAUUGUGCCAUUGCAUUGUUCUUUUCAGUUUUUGCUUUGUUGAGUUUGCGUUGCAUCGUCUAGUCAUGUUGCUGGUCUUAGCGUUUAGUCCGUUUAGAGUUUCGAGUUCUGGUCACGUUUAGUACCACUGUCUCUGCCGCCGUCGUGUCUUUGUUGCUGUCGGGACCAGCACGAUACUUGACUUUGAAUGAUUAUUCAACUUUGCAUUCUCUGAUUUGAGCAUUUUCUAUUCCUUUGCUACAUAUUUAAGCGUACCCAGAACUCCACAUAUUUGAUUGCAGCCAUACAACAAGGUUUGCGAAGACAUCGAUACAUCCAACCUCCAUUGGGGUGCUUGGUUGAGUCGGUGUAUGUUACCAUUCCGCUUGCAUUGGUAAGAACUUGUAAGAGCUCGGUAAAAGCUUUGAGUGUGUGAUAUUUGAGCUACCACUACCUAGUAGUUAAUAGGAACGUGCAUAUUUUUGUGUAUGUUUCUUGUUUUCUACUAACAAUGGCAGGGAUAUGCAAGACCAUUGGAAAUGAGCUAGCUCAACAUCGACAUCUUUGUCAAGACAUGAGGAGUGAUCAACAUGAUACUAAUAAGGUACGUGAUGAUGUUCUAACUAAGAUCAAAUCUGCACUACCUUAUUUCAAAGGAAAUUAUGAUCGUCAUGCUUAUAUUAAUUGGGAGCUAGCUAUUGACAGGGAAUUUAAAAAGCAUGGUUUAUCUGAGAAACAAAAGAUUAUGUGUGCCUCUAGUGUUAUUAUGUGUGCCUCUAGUGUUUUAAUUAAUCAAGUUUCUAAUGAUUGGAGACAUCUUUGUAGGCAUAAUAAAAUACCACAAUCUUGGAAAGACAUGAAACGAUAUAUGAGAGAUGUUUAUAUUCCUAUGUAUUACGCUGACAUUCUAUUCAAAAAACUACAAUGUUUAAAACAAGAUGCUAAAACUAUUACUUCAUACUAUAAUGAUAUGCAUGCUUGUUUAUUAUGUUGUGGUUUAGAUGAAUGCGAAGAAGCAACAUAAUUAAGGUUUUUAUGUGGGCUUAACAAAGAAAUUCAGGACAUGCUUGCUUGUCAAAGAUAUAGUUCUCUUUCUCAUUUGUUAAAACUUGCUUGCAAUGCUGAAAGUAAAAUAGAGAAGGACAUGAAAAAGAAACACGCUAUGAUUUUGCCUCCUAUUACUAACCAUUUGCAGAAAGUGCAUAAUCACGAAAAAGAGGAGAGAGACAUGAAAGAGCCGUCGCUUCCAUUGUUUACACUCAAAUUUGAUGCACCUCCAUCAUCAAAAGAGAGAAUCAUAGGUAAUCUACAUGGUGCUGCAAUUAAUCAAGGUGGGUGUGCCAUUAAUGAAUUGAAUAUGUCCACUUUUCAUGCUAUUGCAGAGCAACCAUUAGUGGAACCAAUUGUUGAAAUGCCUUUGUCACAAGUUGAUUUACUUGUUGUUCCUUGUGAUAAAGAAGAGUUGUGUGAUAAUGCUUCACUUAUAUCCAUGCCACAAUUAAUGAAUGAACAUGCUAUUCCUACUGUUAAUUCUUAUUGCGCUGAUUUUAGGCAUGUUGUUCACAUUGCUAAUGAAGUAGAGGAGCAUGAAUUGACAUCUUUUUUAAAUACUUUGGGCUAUAUUCAGUUUGAUAAUUUUUGUGAGCUUGAUAAUUUGAAGGAGAAAUUAUUUGCUAAGUCUGAUUUGCCAUGUCUAACCAAUGCUAUUUUUCAUAUCUUUGGCGAAUAUGAUGAUAGAGGAAUAUAGCCGUUGGAGGUGCACUAUAAGAAUAGGUUGGCUGGUUGAAGGAGUUUAUCCCAAAUUCAACUCAUUUUCACUCCUUCUCAAUUUCUAUUUUGCUCUCAUGUUCAUUCCAAACUCGUGCAAACUAGCCUCAUAUUUAGAAACCAUCUUUUGCAUUUGCAUAUACAAGUGGCCAUUGGUGCAAGGCUAAUCGGCGGGUAGAUUUUCUUGCGUUAACCCCCGCUCGAGUUUUUGCCUUGUGCGCUUGCUCUUUUUGCAGUCAUGAAGAGACGGCUCUCUCGCUUGUUCAUGGGAUCCGGCUCUCAAUCCAGCCGUCAACAAGACGAGUCAAGUGAUCGAUCAUCCUCUGAUGUGCCGAUGCAGGAUACGUGUCACACCCUGAAGUUCUUCUCCCAAGCCUAAAUUAAUUUAAUAAAUCAUCUCAAGAAAUUAUUUGUGUAAUGGCAAGAGAGAAACCCUAAUUUAAUAAAUGCAAUUUGUCGGCACCCGGGGAUGGAAUUCCCGAAUACCUGGAGCGUACACUGUACUAGUCCCAUGAUCAGUGGGUAGCACACGCAUCCACAACAUUGAUAUCACAUCCAUACAACAUACUUGGCAUAUAAAUAGAUAAAGUGGUUAUCAUAGCUUAGCGGUGCAAAGGUCUUACAUAGUAGUUAGGCCAACCGGCCAAAUAAAAGAGUUUAAACGCAACGGAAAAGAUAAAGAUACAUAAGUUCUUCAGUAUGCCCAUCUACCAAACCACACAGGCAACUAACUAGGACUCACCCUAGAAAGAACCAUGCUUAGAAACUCCGGUAACACCCGCUUCCUACAAACAAGACUAAAAACAACAACAAGAGGUGGGUCAAUACACUAGGUAUUGGCAAGUCCUACCCAAACCUUGGGAAACCUAGGACUAUUGCAAGCUGAGAUCAAGGAUGGCUAUAUUUGUGGCUCAUUUUUAGCAUAAAGCAAAUUUUGUUUCACAAUAGUAGAUAAUAAUAGAUAGAAACGGGAUUUUUAAAUAAAAGAGUAAGCCAUAAUAAUAGUAAUAUAAGUAUCAUCAUAGUACCAACCUUGUGCCACCCACGGCAACAAGUAAUCAUUUUAUUAUCAGCCCACACCGGGCAAAAUCAUCACCAUUAUUCACCAUACCCAUUUCACAAACCAUUUUAGUAAAUCAUCAACACUAUACUUGCAUCAUUUCACCAAGUUGCUCAUGUCCGUAAGCACGGCUAAUCGAUUAGUUUUAGACUCUGCAGAGUUUGUACAACUUUAUCCACAUGAUGUGAUAGAAGCCAAAAGGCUACACUCUAGUUGUUUUGGUACCUGUCGGUACCCCACACUCUACACAUGGAAUGUGGACUAGAGGUCACAACGAAGUUGUUACAUUGCUUAAAGUCUAGCCUUGCAUGAGCACGGAGAGUGUUUCUCCACAUUGGCCAUGAACCAAUGCCGCUAGGAAAGGUAGGCCCCAUCCUAAUCCUAACGCCGUGAGGCGAACACAUCCGUUCCCUCAACGAGGCACUAUCCGUUAUAUUGGAUAUGCUCAGACGCCCAUGCCAUAUGGCGAACACAACCGUUCCCAUAGAGGGUCACAUGGGUAGCUCCUAUGAACCAUCGCUCAGACUAGUCCCUACUACAACGGCCUCCCAAUGCAAGGCUAAACAGUAAACAACUUAACAAGCCAAGGUCGCCCCAUAUACGACACAUGUGGUUGCACGGUAAUCUUAGUUGGUGACACAUAGUUCAGUCCUUAAUCGACUCGGGCGUACACUCCCCUUAUCGGUGUGCAACUACCACCAUAUGCACACCACUUGCCGCCCAAGUCUAAAAUCAUUAUUUUCAGUUUCCAAUUGUCAUAAACAACAGAAUAACUCUUGUGUAAAAAUAUCCCAUUUGUAAAGAAUGAUUAUCAUGUCAUAUUUUCUAAGCAUGCCUAAGCAAGUAGCUAUAGUAGUAGCUCAAAUAUACCCACAAUGUGCUUGUACAUCACACAUAUAUACUCAGCCUAGGGCUUCAACAGUAAUGAUAAUCAAUAUAUCAAGGUAGGUAAUGCAGCAAUUAGGUCAUUUCUACCAAUACCCCAUUUUUAUAAAACAUCGCAUGCAAUUUAUAAAAUAGUAAAGCACUUGCGAAAAUAUAGGAUUCAACAUGAUCGAAGGAGGAAUUGAAUAGGACUUGCCUUGCUCAGUUGGUUCCUCAAAUAACUCUUGGUCCUGCACACUCUCACCAACGGCAACAAUUGAUUCGCCCUCUAAUUAAAUUUAAACGUACAUUCAAAUGAACAUCCAAUAAAACUCCAAGAUAAAAUAUGAUGCAUGGUGCAUGAACAUGUUCAGUGUAAAGAGAGUGAUUUAAUAUAAAUUUCGGAGAAAGAAUCGCCUAAAUCCGAUGUUGUAUGUGCAAGUUAUCGUGUUUCUAAUAUUUAAAGUACGGUAAAUACGAAGUUUACUAUUCAAAUUUAAAUUAGUGAAAAUUUUCACAACAGUGGUGACAAUUUGAGUGUACAGUAUUAAAGACAACAUUAUUAUGAACCUAACAAAAUUUGGUUCACCUCAAUCGGAGUUAAAUUGGAUUUUCUAUGAUUUUACAAAAUUUCAGCAUUUUAUAGUGCAUAAAUAAAUAACCGAAAUCAUUUUCUUAGAUUUAUUAUUUUCUCUUUACAAAAGGCUGAAGCGUACUGUCUAGAGUACACUUUCCUACACGGAAAACGUAUCUCGGUAGUGCGCAUCCACUUAAAGCAGUAGGGUCCACAUGUAAGUGUCUCGUAGAUUUAUAGCUCCAACCCUAUACUUUUAUUAUUUAUAUAUAAGUCCUGGGUCCCACUUGUAAGUCUAAUGGCGCUUUGUAUCAGAUACCCUAGAGUUUAUACUAUUUACUUUUAGGUCCUGUCCUCUUCCUCCGUUCGCACCAGAGAGAGGGGAGCGCGAGGGCGGCUCCGGAUGGUCUCGCCGGCGGCGACCGGCGGCGGGGCUGGCUAGGGCAGAGGCAGGGGCGACUAGAGGGGGUCCUCGCGCUCACCCUAGAUGCGGCGGCGCGGCCCGGGGAGGUUGGAGACGGCGGGCGCCAUGGCCGGUGUCGGCGGUAGGUUGGGGACUGCGACGGCUCGCGUGGUACGGCGAACGAUGACUCGAUUAAAGGAUGGAGGAGCACCUUUGGACUAUGAGGAAGCUUACCCCGUGCUCUAUUUGGGUAGAGGCGGUCCGAUGUGGCGUGGCCACGAGCUCCCUAGGCGGUCGGCGACGGCAAUGGUGGCGGCAGAUCUCCGGCGAAGAGGUCCUAAAUUAACUUGAGGAAAUAGGUUCAUGGGGUUCUCAGGAGCAUGUUGGCGCAAGGGUUUGGUUCGAGACUCACCGAGGCAGCGACUUGACGGGUGCGGGUUGGCGGUCGCGCCCUGUUCGGCCGACGCGGGGCGUGACGAUGGCGCGGGCGUUCCCGGCGAAUCAGAGGGUUUCGGUCUUCGCCUUUGGGUGUGGAGGUUGAGAGUGGUGUGGAGAGUUAGCUGGCGCGAGGGUUCGAUUUAUAGGCGAGGGAGGAGCGAGAGGCAAGCGCGGGGUAUUGUCGCGAAGUGCUCGGCGUCUCUCGCGCGCGCAGGCGGUGGUCGGCGGGGAACACGGCUUGCAGCAGGCGUCGGCUUUGCGCAGGGAUUGCAGAGGGGGUGCAGGGUUAGUCAGAGGGAGCCAGGGGCAGUCGGUCUCGCCUUGUCGCUUCGGGCGUCGGCUUUGGCAGGGGGCGGCGGCGUUGGAUUGGCCACGGCGGCUGCGGUGGUCGGCGCCUGGGCGCGGCAGGGAAUCGGCAGGGACGGCGUCGGCUUUGUGCGGCCUUGGCACAGCGGGAUUCGCGGGCAGAGGGUGGCGCAGGGUCGCGUCGCGUCGUUGCUCAGGCAGAGAGAGAGAGGGAGAGCAAGAGAGCGGCAGCUCCGGGUUGGGCGAGCCGGCGAGGGACGCGGCGAAGGCAGCUGCAGGGCCUCGGGCAGGGGUGCACCAGCCUUGCCUCAGCUUUGCCAGCGGAAAACGCGGGCAGAGGUUGCUUGGUCGGCUUGGAAACCAUGACCUCGAUCUCGCACGCUAGGUGCUCGAUGAAUUGCCUGAAAGGAAUAGAAGGAGAGAAGGGAGAAAGACAGAGAGCAGGGAUAUGGGGAUGGUGGCUGGCAGGUGGGGCCAAUGGUUCUUAGGCCCACUGAUCAGAGAGAUAACGGGAGAAGGGAUGAUGUUACGGGAUUUUUCUCUUGGAAUUUCCAAGAAGGCUCAGAGUUUGAUUAAUUUUUUUUUUGGAUAUGCUACUGUGCUCAAAAGCUUGUGCAAAAAUUUUUGGAGGUUAGUCUGGUCAAGACCUCCACUUGGUAAAUUUUUGGGAUUUUUCUCAAGUGCAGUUUAUUUUUGAAAAUUCGAACAAGUUCACUGUUUUUUUUUUACUUGAACCAAAUUUUGGAUGUUUUCAUCCUUUUAAUUCAGAUGCAAAACUUGUGAGAUUUAUGGAAGGUUAUUUCAGUGUCUAAUACUUAUUUUAAUUCUUUUUUUUGUUCAUAUUUAUUGCAUGCAAAUGAAUUAUGAGAUGCAUGGAAAAUCCAAGAACACCAAAAUUAACUUCAAAUGACAAGGACAAGAUCAAAAUCAAAUUUUUGCUAAGUUUUCUUCAUUUUUUUUAGCUUCAAAUAAUUCCUGGUACGAUACACAAUUAAUAACCGAAAUUGGCAUGUGGAAUUUUUCUUGAGUUCUACAUGUCAAAAUAUGCUAAUAGGAUUUUUAGUCGAAUUUUCAGAUCUCUAUAAAUAAUCUUAACCAAUUAAAAAUGAGCACAAGCAAUCCCUGGAAAUUCUCUUUUCCUUUUUUCCUUUUCUUUUUCCCCUCCUUUCCUUUCUUGGGCCAUCGGCCCAUUUCCCCUCCCCGCGCGUGCGCCUCCACGCUCGGCCGGCCCAAGGCUACGGCCUAGCCGCCCCGGCGCCCCCUCCUCCCUUCGGGUCACCAACAGGUGGGGCCCACCUAUCGGGCCCGUCCCCUACCACCGGCCGGCGCCGCCCGCGCCUGCAACCACCGCCGACCGCCUCUCCUGCGCCUCCCAGGCCACAUCGCACACUCCCCGCACUUGCCCCGCACGUCCCGCAAGCGCCGCCCCCUCUCCCGCUCGCGCGCCCGCGCCGAGAUGGCCGGGAAUCAAUUUUUGAAUCCUGCCUCUCUCUCCUCCCCACCUCCCCCAUGUUGCCGACCGAUCCGCGCCCCUCCCCGCCACGUCUCGUCCCCUCGCGCCUAUGUAAAGCACCACCACCCCCUCCUCCACCUUUUCCCGUUCUCGCCAAGCUCCCCCGUGCACUCCACUGCAAUAGCGCCGGCCCCCUCCUCUCCGCCGCUCCGGUCGCCCCUAGCCGCCACGCCGAGCUGCGACAACGAUGCCGUCGCAUUCGGCGCCUCAAGCGCCACGCCGUCCACCCCUUCCCCAUCGAAAUCUGCCACCGGGGGCUGUCCUCCAUCGCAUGCCGGUCUCCCCGAAGCCCGUCCCGCCGUCGCCGUCGCUUUCCGCCACUCAUCGUCAUUGAUCAUCGUCGGUGAGGCCUCCCCCUUUUCCCCUCUCUCUCUCGCGCCGCCUAGCGCCGCCGCUUAGCCGACUAGCCGCCGGUUAGCUGUGUCGUCGCCGCUCGCCGCCAUCAGCCGGUCGCCGCCUCGCGCCAUGGCCGCCGGGACGGCUUAAACCCGCCUGCGCGCGCCCGGCCGCGCGCCGCCUCCGCCGUCUGAUCUACCCGAGGGUAGAUCAGGGCCGCUCAUCCGCCGCCCACAUGGCAGCUCCCUUCUCUCGGUCCCGUGGACUCGGUCCACCGUGGACCGGCGUCCCCGAGCUGAUGACAUGUGGGGCCCGCGUGUCGGUGCCCUCCCCCUUUUGCUGACGUCACCAGGGUAAAUAAUUGCGCAAUAAAUUGAUUAAGGCUUUUCUUUUUAUAGUAAAAACAUAGUGAAUCUUCUAAAAUUCAUAGAUAAUUCAUCCGUGCUCCGCUUAAGCCCAUUCAAGUCUCACUAAAUCAAGAAAAAUACAAAGAAUCCAUUAAAAAUGGUUUUGUUCUCUGUUUCAGUAGUCUUAUAGCCUAUUUGCAUUGUAUGUCGCAUAGAUUCAGGCUUUCCCGACGCUCCGGUGUACUUCGAAAUAGUCAUCGAAGUUCCUCCAGCCGCAGAGCAAGACAAGUCAUGCUUUUCUCUUGAACAUAUUGAUCCCAUAUUGCAAAUGCUCUAUUGUUUUCCUUUAAUAUUGCAUUGUUUUAUAAUGUUACUAUGGGAUAACUACCUACUGUCUCAGCCAUAUGAUUUGGUAUCUUGUUCCUUUGCUAGCCUGGGUUGUAACAUGACUAGAUGUUGGAUUAGGGAUUGCUUAGCCAUACUUAGUUCAACUAGUACACAUUGAGGGAAUUACAUUAAUGCAUAGACUUAAGAUCCUAGUAUUGAUGUUGGAUUAGUGCCACCGUUUCGGUGUUGGUUAAUUAAAAUAUAUUAAAUGGUGGGCUGUGGGUGUAUGGUUUUGAUGGUCGCACCCAUAGCAAUUAAGGACCGGUUCGCGGGAUGCCCUGGAAGAACUUAUCGUACUUACCACAAGCCAGCGUGGGCAACGGCUGGGCUUGUAGUGUAGCUUUCGUCAAGCUGACGCAUCCAGGCAAGGGUGGGCAUGAUGGAGCGGGAAUGGCCCUGCGAUGGCCUUUGUCGCUUCCGGAUUCACCUAGGCAUGAGAGGGGAUUGCCCGCUGCCUUGCGAGGAGUGGGGGUGAAACCUGAGGUGUGGUGUGCUUAGUUACAGGGGUUUAUGCGAAGGGUCCUGUCACGGCCUCUUUCCGGUACGUCGUGGUGGCAUACCGGCGCACGGGCACGUGACAUGGGGCUGUGUCUUGUGGGUACAGUUGUACACCUCUGAUCAGAGUAAAACUAUUUGAAUAGCCGUGCCCGCGGUUAUGGGCGGUCAACCAGAUUCACUGUGAUUAGUCUUACCCUAGUUUAGCUUAAUGGAACUGAUUAGUUCAGGUGGUGGUUUGGGCCUGUUUGUCACGCCCGGAAUUUCUAUCCAAAAUUCCAAACGCUUACAUGUGUGUAAACCCUCGUCCAGGAAUCAACCGAGGCACACAAUAACAAAUUGAUAAUAGAGUGCAAUUAUUAAUCUAAUUAAUAAGCGAAUAUAAAGUCAUUACAGAGGUAGAUAGUUCCUCUCAACAAUAAAGAUCUAAGCAGCGGAAAAUAAAAUGAAGAGCGCAGGCGACUCCAUCCCACAAGCAGCUUGACCAGGGCUACGCCUAAUCCUCCACACCUUCGGCAUCACUGUAGAACUCCUCCUCUGAUGAAUGAUUGCAAGGUGAGUAUAUGACAUACUCAACAAGCCACGCAGCAAAUAUGCAAGUGCAAGGGAUAACAAAGGAUGGCAUAAUAUAGUCUCAUUUGCAUAAAUGGCAUUCAAUAAAUACUUCGGAAUUUAGAAAAACAGUAAAGUAUUUAAUUAAACAAUAUUAAUCCAACGCUAUACAACAUACCCGUUGCAUAGGCCCAACCAUUCUGAACAACCAUUCCCGGCUGCACAGUUCUAUCUCCAAACCAGGAAUAUACCAUUCCAAACCAGGAGCUAAACAAGUUAUUACCAAUUACAACAUCAUUUAUUAUGGAGAGAGGUAUGAAACUAAUCACGAAAGACAUUGUUCGACCCGCCCAUAACCGCGGGCAUGACUAUUCGAAUAGUUUUACUCUGGCAAGAGGUGUACCACUGUACCCACAAGACACAACCUCAACAUCAUGUCAACCAUGCGUCGCGAUACUUAACAAGUACCCGAAUAGAGAUUGUGACAAUACCCUUCGCAUAACACAAUUCAAAGCAGUGCACCGUUCUUGGAUCAUAAUCACCCCCAUAUAAAACAAGGCAUGGACUCCCCAGCGACCCCCGUGGGCUUAUCUCCGCCACUUCACAGUCUGGUGCCCUAUAAUGAACCACACUAUACAAAAGGUAAAGCCGUUGCCCACGUUGGCUUGUGGUUGGCACGGUUAAUGUUUUACAACCGAAAAUCGUGAACCGGUCCUUAAUUGUCAUGAGCACGACCAUCAAACCCAUGUGCUCACAACCCACCAUUACCAUGUUUUAGUUGGCAUCUUAAUUAAUCAACCUAUCCUGAUUAACCAUCAUGAGCUACCAUUAUGUAAUAGUGAAUCAUUAAUUAUCCCAUUCAUAUGAGCUAGUGUCUCUAAGCAUGGCUAAGCAUCCUAAUUGCUUUAGCUAAAACCAUAUAAUGUUCUAGCUAAUCAAAUUAUUAACCAAGAGACAAAGUAUAGGUAAUCAACAACAAAAGGCUAUAACAAAGGUAAUAGGUCAUUCCCACCCGGUGACAUUCAAAAAUAAAUGCAAUAGUUGAAUAGAAACAAUAGCUUUAAACGGGAUCAACAUGCUCAAAGGGUUGUUUGGGAUCUGUGUGACUUGCCUUGCUGGCCUUGGAACUCUUUAAAGUCUUCUCCUGCAAAAUUGGACUCUCCGGGAAUGUCGGAAUCUAAUCAUAAAAGAGCAAAAUCACCAAAACAGCAUAUAAACAAGCAUGAACAAUACAUGUGGAUAUUUUUAACAUGUAGAUCUCAAUUUUAGAAAAAUUUAGAGACUUGAACCAACUAAAUCCGAGCUAGGAUGAAUUAGUUAUGAAUUUUUAAAGAUUAAACUGGAUUAAAUCAUUUAUAUAGAUUUUAUUUGAAUUAUGACGCAAUAAAGAAUUAUUUUUGAAAAGGAAAUAGGAUUUAUUGCGUCAGCGGGCUCAGGUUCACGGUGGACCGGGUGCACGAAAACGGUCUACGGAAUGAACGGCCGAGAUCGAUCUAAUCCACCACGGGUCUACGGCUGACGUGGCGCUGACGUCGAUGAUGACGUCAUCACCGGCGGCGGCUCGGCACCUAGUGCUCGCCGGCGAACGAUGGCGCGGCGGCGCAAACGGAGGGCAUCUACGCGUAGAGGGCGACGCGGCGAACUCACCGAGGACUCGGACGAUGACAGACGGCAACGGACGGCGACGGCGGCGAGGUCGAAGCGGCGGAGGCGUUCGGGUCGACGACAACGGCGAUGCUCCGGCGGUCUUCAGCAGAAACGGAGGACGGGAUGAGGAUGGCAACGACUUGGCGAACCCAACGGCGGCCAUCCCGAGCGGCGACGACGACCGGAGCAGCGGCGAUGCACGACUGGACUUCCUUCGGCGGCAGCGGCGCACGGGCUCUAGUGGCUAGGGCACUACGAGCGGCGGUGAGCUGAGGUGAAGGUGGCGACGAAAAGAGGAGGUCCCGGGGUCCUUUUAUAGGGGCUAGGGGGCAGCGGCUAGGCCCACGGCGGCCGGCGGCGGCGAUGGAAGGUUUAGAGUUGGAGGGAGAAAAUUGAAUCCGAAUCGAGAUCAAAUCCAGCGAUUUCCAAACGAAAUUAUCCGAAGUUUCCAAAAGAGAAAAGGAAGAGGAGAUCCCGAGGAUCAUUUCCCCUCUACCAAUUCGAUCGGAUCAGGAAAGAGGCGACGGAAUUUGGAAGGGGGCGGCGGCGGCUUGCGCACGGCUAGGGCGCGGCUGCGGCGGGAGGUAGACGAUGACCCUGACAGGUGGGCCCCACCUGUCAGCGGGAGAGAGUAGAGAGGGCGGGCGGACUGGGCCGGCUUGGGCCGGGCGCGCACAGGCCAGGGAGAGAGAGAGACUUGGGCCGACUUUCGGCCCAAAGCCAAAUGGGAGAUUUUAAAACCUUUUUCUAUUUAAAUUAUUCAUGGAAUGAUAUUCCAUUGAUUAAAAAUACUUUCUUGGCUCAAAUAAAUCCCAGAAAAAUCUAGGAACUAUAGAAUCAAGUGAAGUAUUUAAUAAAAUUUUAUCUGGCCCACUUUUACAUUGGAAUUUAUUAUUUAAAAUUAGAUCUUUUCUUCUAGGCUUUUAAAAUCAUUUCUAAUAAUUCCAUUUAAACAACAAUUUAUACAUUUGGGAUUUUUAGGGUGUGACACUGUCUCAACGUGGUGUAGCAUUGAGCAAUGAUUGGUUUAAUAUUGAUUAAUUAUUAUAACUGUUUUACUGCUUUCAACUACUGUUUAUAAAUGCGCAUUAUGCAAAUGAAUCCCUCCCUUUUAACCUUCUUUGGUUAUAUCCUGCAUCAUACCCUCCGUUCCGAUAUGACUUGCUGAGUACAGUGAGUAGUACUCAGUCUUGCUCUAUCUCCCAACCCUCAGAGUUCGAGUAUGCGUCCGAUGGUGGUUUCUCCGAGGAGUCGGCUUCGUCCGUGCCGUCGAGGAUGCCUGUGGAGUAGUGUCCCCGCUGCUAUCCAAGUCAAGGGUUAGCUCUAGUUAUCUUUUAUUUUUCCGCUGCAUUUGUGUAAGACUUUUAUAAUGUUUGUAAGACGUGUAUCUGUAUGUUAACUUUGUCGUUUGUGUACCCUGGCCGGUCCUGGACAGGGGUUUUAAUGCACAUUUUGCUUGAAAUUCUAUUCGGGAAUUUCUGGGUGUGACAAGUUGGUAUCAGAGCCGACCUUGACCGUAGGACAAGCCAAAUGGAAACCCUAAGAGCCCUUCGAAUCCUUUUCAUUUGCAUAUUUUCUUUGCAAUUGGAUUUGUUUUGGGAAAAUUUGGAUUUGUUCCUUUGGUUCAUCGGAAAAAUCCUGAUCGCUCGUUCAAUCGAAAUUUGUUCAAAUAAGGUCAGUCUAGGGUUUUAGUAAAAUUAAUUGGGACUUAUUUGACAGUCAGUCGGAAUUUAAUGGGAGGUAUGCAUUAGGUCCUAUCUAUGGAAUAUGGGUUGCAAAUUUAUUUAUGUUGUUAUUAUUAUUAUUAUUAUGUAUCUAAUUUCUCAUUAUUUUAUUGCUGUGUAUGUCCGUCUUAUUUAUUUGCCCUCAUGCAAAAAUGAUCUAUGCACAAAAUUCCGCUCUUAUUCGCUUAUUUUAUUUGAGUCCUUCACCGUUUAUUUUAUAAUUGGAUUUGAGCAUGCAUUGAUUCUCCAUCCUUGGUCUUCGAUAGAUGGCCGGCUGUCCUCUAACGCACCAGGCUCAGACCAUGGGAGGUUUCGUCGCAUACCUAUCCGACAUGGCAUUCGUGAUUGGUUUUCCAAUGGAGCCGCAGUACACUAGCAUCCACCCUCUCAGUGGCGAGUUCCCGCACCAGGUCCGCUUGGAGGUACACGACAUCCACUCCUUCCUACCCAACAUGGAGGUGACAGCUUGCGGGGGCACGUUUAAGCAUGCCUGUGAGGAGGCUGCCCUCUGGAUGAUGGCCAAUUUGAGGGAGCUGCAUGACGACACUCUAAACACCACCGCCUAUCGCUUCCACCCUCGCCGCGGUUCCAGUUCCAACACCAGCACCUUCAAGUUAGCUUGGGGAGAGAACGACUAUCACCUUCGGCCACAUGAGUGAGGUGAUGGAGGGCUACGACAAGCUGCACGCCAUGCUCCACAAGGCGACCAAGAAGCUCAAUGAUCAGAAGCUAGUGAGGAUCGCUGAGUUCCAGGACGAGGUCGCUCGCCUCAAGAAGGAGGUUGCCAGGCUUCAGGGACGUCUGUCGCUGGGAGGUGCCCGCAUCCACACCAUGCCGAGGAAGUCGACCACAGCUCUAGUGCGCAUCCAGCUCGUGCUCAGGAACCCGCCGCCGCCUCCACCUCCACCCCCAGCACCUCCCGCAGCUCCAGCGCUCCAGCUCUAGUGCCAGCUCCAGAGUCCGCCCUCUCCUUCGUGCCAGCUUCAGCCUACAGGGGUCCAGCAGGAGGCAGUGGAGGAGGGCUACCAGCUUCUCCCAGUGGUGGCCGUGUGAUCAUUAGCAGUUCCAGCUCAGAGGCAGGCAGCGGUGACACCUACUAGCAGGAGGACUCCAGGAGCCGCUCAGAGGGACCCGGCAACGAGCAGGAGGACGCCUUCGACUCCACCGACCGCAGGAGCCGCUCCAAGCACUAGGCUCGUUUUCCCUUAGUUUAUUGACUGCUUAGUAAUUGUCUGUUAGUUUGUGUGUUUAGGUUUGUUCGCUUGUGGGUCAAUCGGCGGUCAAUAUCAUGUGCCUAUGAUAUGGUUGCCUUAAUAAGGAUCUGCUUGCUAUUUUAAGUGUUUUAACUCAAGUCAGAACAAUUGUAGUUUAAAUUCCUAUAAUAAAGCUUAGUUCCUCAGCAUCUGUUUUUCUUCUUUUCCAUCCAUCUGUUCUUUCUUCAGAUGGUCAACACCAGGAAUGGCAGUCGUGCAGCAGGUGAGGGUAGCAGCAGCGAAGAACGCGCUGAUGGCGGGCACCCCAACAGCACCACCGGCAAUGGUCCGCCACCGCUUCCCGAGAACCCGACGCUCGCACAAGUGAUGGCCCAUCAAACCCAGAUGAUGGCAGCCAUGAUGCAGCAGAUGCAGCAGCAGCACCAGCAGAUGCACUAGAGGAUGUAGCAGUAGGCCGAGCAGUAGGCGCAGCAGUUUGGUCCCCCUCCCCCUCAGUCCAAGCCGCCUGAAUUUCUGCGCGUCAGGCCACCCAACAUCUCUAGCACCACCAACCCCAUGGAGGCAAAUGACUAGCUUCAUGCCAUAGAGAAGAAGCUCAACCUUAUGCAGUGUAAUGACCAGGAGAAGGUCACCUUCACCACACACCAGCUCUAGGGUCCCGCGUCAACUUGGUGGGACAACCACAUGGCCACCCGUCCGCUAGGCACAGAAGUCACUUGGGCGGAAUUCUGUCGCAGCUUUAGGAAGGUGCAGGUGCCGACGGGGUCGUGGCUCAGAAGAAGAUGGAAUUCCGGGCACUCAACCAGGGCAGCAAGACAAUAACCGAGUACCUGCAUGAGUUCAACCGCCUAGCGCGAUACGCACCGGAAGAUGUUCGCACUGACGCAGAGAAGCAGGAGAAGUUCCUAGCUGGUUUGGACGACGACCUGACCAACUAGCUCAUCUCCGGAGAUUACGCUGACUUCGAGAAGCUGGUAGACAAGGCAAUCCGCCAGGAGGACCAGCGCAACAAGAUGGACAGAAGGAGGAAGGCUGUUCAUUUCAGGGAACAUCAGGGAAGCCACAAGAAGCGGCGCUUCACUACUGGACAGCAGAGUGGACCCUCCACCAUCAUUGUCUGUUAGCAUCGCCCCUACCAUCCCGACAGUUUCCACCAGGGCGGCAGUGUCAGCCAGAACCACCAGGGUGGUCAGCCCAACUGCAAUGCAGCUUCGCGCCCGGCAAUGGCACCAGCUCAGCCAGCUCCACCCACUCAAGCCAAGAAGGAGUCUAGAGCAAAACCAGGACCCUGCUACAACUGUGACGAGCACAACCACUUUGCUAACAAAUGCCCAAAGCCAAGGCGUGCUGGACCGAGGUUUGUUCAGGCCCAUGUCAACCAUGCGUCCGCAGAGGAGGCGCAAGCUGCACCAGAGUUCGUACUGGGUACGUUUCCUGUUAAGUCAAUCCCUGCAAUAUUACUUUUUGAUUUUGGUGCAACGCAUUCAUUCAUUUCCAAGAAGUUUGUUUGGGUGAAUGACGGUUCAUACCCCGAGAAAUAGUUGCACCUCUAUCUAUUACAACCCGAAAGUGGUAAUAGAAAUCCAAAGAUCACAAUUUCUAGCCAACCUCAUCCUUCUUGAAUCCAAAGACUUAGAUGUCAUUCUUGGGAUGGAUUGGCUGACCAAGUUUAAGGGUGUCAUUGAUAGUGCGAAUCGCACGGUCACCUUGAUCAAUGAGAAAGGAGAAAUAAUGGUGUACAAGUCUCCAGCCUCACCAAAGCAAGGAGUCUCAUUGAAUCAGAUUAAGGCGGAAGACCCAGUGGCCGCAGAGGAGAAGAGUCCGAGGAAAUUGGAGGAUAUUCCUGUCGUCUGCGAGUAUCCGGAAGUGUUCCCCGAGGACCUACUACCAUGCCACCCAAGAGAGAGAUCGAGUUCCGGAUCGAUUUGUGUAACGCCCCGAUUUUCGUUCGGGAUUAAAAAGCAUUCAAUAAUGCAGUUUCUAGAAAUUAAAUAAAAGUUAAGUCAAUUUAAUCAAGUGAAAUAAUGGGUGAAUUAAAAUUUUCACUUAAAAAUCAUUGGCCGGAAAUAUUUUGUAAUAUUCUCUAUGCCCUAAUGAACUCUCUGAAAUUUCCUGCGAAUUUUCGGAGCUCAAGAAGUAAUUUUAAUAGUACAAAGUUCAUUUAAUCAAUUUAAAUAAAAAGAAAAGAAAAUAAUUUCCCCUUCCUCCAUUUUGGGCUCGGCCCAAGUCCUCCCCCUCCUCCUUCCCGGGCCUGGCUGCCCUCCCCUUCCCUCUAUCUCUCGGCCCGCUCGGCCCCCUUUUCUUCUUAGUCCACAUUGCCUCCCCCAGCCGGCCUCCCCUCUCCCUCUAUCCGACAGGUGGGACCGGUGGACCCCACCUGUCAUCCCCAACCUUAGGCCGGCUCCAACCGCCGACCACGUUGCCCACGACGCCGCCGAUUCCGGCGCCCUCCUGCUCCCCGCUCGCGCCCAACCGCGUGGACACCGAUCCCCUCCAACUCCUCUACAAACUCCCCCACUUCCCCAAAAACUGGCGCCGGAUCGACCCCCACGGCCCCACGCCGCUCCCCCACUCCGACCGGCGAUUCCGCCCCUCCCGGCCUCGAUCUCGAGCUCCCCGCGCUAUAAAAAUGCUCCCCGAGUCCUCUUCCAUUUCCCCAUUUUUCCCGAGCCUCUUGCGCCCCGUACUGCUCUCCCCACGCUGAUCCCCAUCACCGCCGCUACCCGGCGCACUCCGGCCGUCGUUUCCCACCGCCACAGCCGUCCCCGCACCGAGCCGACGCCACUACUAGCUUCGUCACGCCGCGCUGCACCCCGGCAUCCAUUCGUCCUCCCCAAAGCCUCGCCGUAUCGCCGCUUCCUCUACCGACCCGAGCAAAUGCCGCCUCCAGCCACCUCCCGCCGGCGAGCGUCGCCUUGCCCGGCCAUGCCACCGCCACCCACAGCGCCGCCACGCCCCACCGCACCCCGUCUACCGCUCCUCGUCCCCAAUCCAUCACCGAAAUGCCGCCGCCACAUUCACCAUCUCUUUUCUCCACCGUCGCCAACUCCAGCCGCGCACCACCGCCACCAUAGCCGUCGCUGCAUCGCACCGCCAACAUCGCCAGCUUCGCUACCGCGUGGGCAAGCCCGGCCACCGAUCCGUUUUCCCCCUUCACCACCGAAACUCCACCUCCACUGCCAACCCGAGCUGCCACCAUCUCUACCGCCUCCGGCCAUCCCUCGCCGCUGCUCUGAGCGACCUCCGGCCUCGCGUCCUCCUCCGGUGGCAUCGCGGCGACGAUAGGGAACCUAGCAUCCCCUCAUCCGAGCUCCUCGUCGCCGGUGCCCGUUCUCCCCGCUGUGAGAGGUGAGCUCCUACCCUUCCGGCUGAGUUUUCCCGCCGCCUCGCGCCUCCUUCCUUUUCCCUAACCCUUCCAUCGCGCUCCCCAGGUCGUCCCGGUCGUCGUCCGCCGCCUCGCGCCCGCGGUACGCGAUAGGACCGCCGCCGUCGUCCUCACCCCAACGAGCCCGCCGCCACCUCUCUCCGUAGGCCGCCUCCCUCCGGUGCCGUGCCGCUUGGUGAGCAUCCCCCUCUCCCUUCCACCGUUUCCCGCGCCGCCGCUCGCUGUCGAUGGCCGGUGGCCGUGUGCCGCCGCCUCUCAGCCGUCCGGCUGUGAGCCGCCGCCGCCCCUUUGGCCGUGCACCACCACCGUGGACUCGGUCCAUGGUGGAGUAACUCCUUUGGGUACCCGCUGACGAGUGGGCCCCGUGCUUUGUGGACGUGGUCCACGCCCCUCCUUUUUGAUGACGUCAGCAGCAACCAUUUCCUUUGGAAAAAUAUUUAAUAUUUGCACAAUAAAUCAUUAAUAAUUAUAGAAAUUCAUUUAAAUGGCUCAAAACUUCUAAAAUUCAUAUCUAAUUCAUACUAACUCCAAAUUGGGCCAUUCAACUUGCAAAAUUCAUCUAAAAUUGAGAUCUAUAUGUUUGUUUACUUUUUAUGUACUAUUUCCUUGGAUUUUAUUAGAGUUUUUCCUCGUUUUGCAUGCUAGCGUGUAGUUUCCGUCGUUUCGGAAGAUCGCGGUCGCGAGGACAAGAGUCCAGAAGAUUGUUGUGAAGAAGCAGGGCAAGUCACACAUUCUCCUUGAGCAUUUUGAUCCUACUUUACAAAUGUUUUCUCGUUUGCAAAUAAAUAUGCAUGUUUUGCUAAUUACAUGGGAUCUGGGUAUUACCUAUCUGCUCGCUUGUGCCAUGUUUACUUGAUAUCCGUCCUUUGUCAACCUUGGGUAAUAAAUUGACUAGCUCGUGUUACUUAUGUGACCUAGCUAGAAUUAUAUGCUUAGCCAUGCUUAAUUACCACUAGCUCAGUUGAUGGGAUAAUUACAGUUUUAGACCUGUUAGUAUCAGAACGAGCUGCGUGCUCGAGACAUCCGGCCAUGUUUUAGUGGUCGUAAUUAUCCAACUAAAACGCGACUGAAUGGUGGGCUUUGGGUGCAUGGUUUUGCUAGUCGCACCAAUGGCAAUUAAGGACCGGUUCACGGGAAACCCUAGAAGACUUACAGUGCUUGCCACAAGCGGGAGUGGGUAACUGCUUGAUCUGAAGUAUAGCUCGACCCUUUCCUAGGCACUGGUGGUGAGGGUGGGCGUGAUGGAAUUGGGUCGGCCAGGGUGUCCGGUUGUCCAGCUGCCAGAUUCACCGUGGCGCACGAGGGGACUGCCCGCUGCCUUGCGAGGAGUGGGGGUGAAACCUUAGCGUAGUGUGGAUGGUUAGGGGAGAGUUAUAUGAAGGGUCUUGUCAUAAUCACUCGACGUGGUGAUGUGUUCAUCAUGGGCACAUGAUGGCACGGUGACAUGCCGGUGGAUUCUGUCUUAUGGGUACAGUUGUGCACCUCUGGCCAGAGUAAAACUAUUCGAAUGGCCGUGCCCGCGGUUAUGGGCGAUCGACCAGAUUCACCGUGAUUAGUCUCACCCCUAAUAAAUCGACCUAAUGCACUGUAGUUCAGGUGGGUUGGUUGGGCCUGUUUAACGUGGUGUAGCGUUGAUCAGUGGAGAUCUAAUUUACUUUAAUUAAUCAAUUGUUUUACUGUUUUGCUCAAUAAAAUGUUUUGCAACCGCCUUUAUGCAAAUAGCCACAAACCGUCCUUGUGUCCCCUUGCACGUCUGCAUCGUUGGUGUGGCUUGCUGAGUACGGUGGUUGUACUCAGCCUUGCUAUUAUUCCUCCUUUUCAGAAGUGUAGUGCUUCUGAGCUGACGACGAAGUUAGAGGACCAAGGCUCAGACCCCAGUUGAGUUUUGCCUGUGGAGUGGAGCUGAAGCCCCGCUAGGAUCACCUUUUUCUGCUGUUGCUGCUUUCUUUCGGUGUGAGGACUAAGUGCCUCUUCUGUAAGUAUUUUAUGCUUUAUUUACGUUUGGAACUGUAUAUUACUUGUUGUUUUGUGUACCCUGGCUGGUCCUGUACAGGGAUUUAAUACACAAAAUAGUCUGGAAAUUUUGGUUAAAUUUCUAGGCGUGACAAUUUGGCACCGGGAACAGCUUCGAUCUACAAAAGGCCGUACAGAAUGGCAGCUAAUGAGCUAACAAAGGUCAAGGAGCAAGUUGAUGAAUAGCUGCAGAAAGGCUACAUCCGACCGAGUACUUCACCUUGGGGUGCUCCGAUCAUUUUUGUGGAGAAGAAGGACUAAACGAAGAAAAUGUGCGUCGAUUAUCGCGCACUCAAUGAGGUCACUAUCAAGAACAAGUACCCCUUGCCAAGGAUUGAUUACCUGUUUGAUCGGUUGAAGGGAGCUAAAGUAUUUUCCAAAAUAGACCUACAAUUAGGCUAUCACUAGUUGAGAAUUCAGGAAGAAGAUAUUCCCGAGACAGCCUUCACCACUCGGUAUGGGUUGUUUGAGUGCACGGUUAUGCCAUUUGGACUCACCAAUGCACCAGCCUUCUUCAUGAACCCGAUGAACAAAGUGUUCAUGGAGUUUUUGGAUAAGUUUGUCAUGGUAUUCAUUGACGACAUUUUUAUCUAUUCCAAGUCAGAAGAAGAACAUGAGCAACAUCUCCGUCUGGUGCUCAAGAAAUUGUAGGAGCAUCAGUUAUAUGCCAAGUUUAGCAAGUGUGACUUCUGGUUGUCGAAAGUUAUAUUCCUGGGUCACGUCAUUACUGCUCAAGGUGUGGCAGUGGAUCCAUUGAAUGUGGGGUCAGUCACCAAGUGGACCCCACCUAAGACAGUGACACAGAUUCGGAGUUUUCUUGGACUUGCGGGCUAUUACCGUCGGUUCAUUGAAAAUUUCUCUACGAUUGCUAGACCCAUGAUUCAGUUAUUAAAGAAAGACGAGAAAUUCAAGUGGUUAGCUGAGUGUGACAAAAGUUUUGAAGAGCCCAAGAAGAAAUUAGUGUCUGCUCCUAUUGUAAUUUUGCCCGAUCAGAUGAAAGAUUUCCAGGUCUACUGUGAUGCGUCCCACCAAGGGCUAGGAUGUGUUCUGAUGAAGGAAGGCCAAGUGGUCUCUUAUGCCUCGCGGUAGUUGCGUCCACAUGAGGGUAACUAUCAUACCCAUGAUCUUGAAUUGGCAGCAGUGGUUCAUGCCUUAAAAAUAUGGUGGCACUACCUCAUCGGUAAUCGUUGUGAAGUCUACAUGGACCACAAGAACCUAAAGUACGUCUUCACCCAGCUUGACUUGAAUCUCCGACAACAAAGAUGGUUGGAGUUGAUAAAAGAUUAUGACAUGGGGAUACACUACCAUCCAGGCAAAGCUAAUGUGGUAGCAGACGCUCUGAGCAGGAAGAGCUAUUGCAACGCCUUGGGUAUUGAAGGCAUGUGUGACAAAUUGCAACAAGAGCUUGAACAUCUCGACUCGGGAAUUGUGGAACACGGGUACGUGGCUUCCCUAGAGGCAUGACCUACUCUCGUGGAUCAAGUUCGAGCAGCUCAGGUAAAUGAUCCUGAGAUAGCGGAGCUGAAAAAGAAUAUGAGGGUUGGAAAAGCCCGAGAUUUCCAUGAGGAUGAGCAUGGCACAAUCCGGUUGGGAGAAAGAUUGUGCGUACCUGAUGACAAAGAGUUGAAAGACCUAAUACUCACCGAGGCUCAUCAGAUCCAGUACUCCAUUCAUCUCAGCAGUAUCAAGAUGUACCAGGAUCUCAAAGAAAAAUUCUGGUGGGCCAGCAUGAGAGGGGAAAUAGCGGAAUUCUUCGCACUCUGUGAUGUUUGUCAGCGAGUCAAAGCAGAACAUCAGAGGCUUGCAGGACUACUUCAACCUCUUCAGAUCCCAGAAUGGAAAUGGGAAGAAAUAGGAAUGGAUUUCAUCACUGGCUUGCCCAGGACAUUGUCAGGGCAUGAUUCAAUAUGGGUAGUGGUUGACCGUCUCACGAAGGUCGCUCACUUUAUACCAGUGCACACCACUUAUACUGGAAAAAGAUUGGCGGAGCUUUACCUUUCAAGGAUCAUGUGUUUGCACGGGGUACCCAAGAAGAUUGUAUCUGAUCGAGGGAGUCAGUUCACUUCAAAAUUCUGGCAGGAGCUGCAAGAAGAACUGGGGACUCGUCUGAAUUUCAGCACAACUUAUCACCCGCAGACGGAUGGUCAGACCGAGAGGGUCAAUCAGAUAUUGGAAGAUAUGUUGUGAGCUUGUGCACUUGACUUUGGUGGAGCUUGGGAUAAAAGUCUGCCUUACGCGGAAUUCUCUUACAACAACAGCUACCAGGCCAGUUUGCAAAUGGCACCAUUCGAAGCAUUGUAUGGCCGGAAGUGCCGCACACCUCUCUUCUGGGAUCAAACAGGCGAACGUCAACUGUUCGGAACAGAAGUGUUAACGGAAGCGGAGGAGAAGGUCAGAACCGUCAGGGAAAGAUUGAGGAUUGCUCAGUCUCGGAAGAAGAGUUGCGCGGAUAAUCGCCGAAGGGAGCUCACCUUUGAAGCAGGUGACUAUGUGUAUCUUCAUGUUUCUCCGCUCCGAGGAGUCCACCACUUCCAGACGAAAGGCAAGUUGGCACCAUGCUUCGUGGGACCAUACAAGAUUUUGGAGCGAAGAGGAGAAGUCGCACACCAGCUUGAGCUUCCAUCCAAUAUGGCUGGUAUCCAUGAUGUGUUCCAUGUGUCUCAAUUAAAGAAGUGCUUGAGGGUACCAGAAGAGCAAGCCAAUUCAGAGCACAUUGAUAUUCAAGAAGAUCUGACUUAUGUGGAGAAGCCAGUCCGCAUCCUUGAGACUAGCGAGAGAAGAACCAGAAACAAGGUUACCAGGUUCUACAGGGUUCAGUGGAGCCACCACUCCGAGUAAGAAGCAACAUGGGAAAGGGAAGAUGAAUUGAAGGCCGCCCCAUCCGCACCUCUUCGCCAGCUAUUCUGAAUAUCGGGGUCGAGGUUCCGUUUAAGGGGGGCAGGUUUGUCACACCCUAAAGUUCUUCUCCCAAGCCUAAAUUAAUUUAAUAAAUGGUCUCAAGAAAUUGUCUGUGUAAUGGCAAGAGAGAAACCCUAAUUUAAUAAAUGCAAUUAAUAAUCGAAAUUGGCAUGUCGAAUUUUUCUUGAGUUCUACAUGUAAAAAUAUGUUAACAGGAUUUUUAGUGGAAUUUUCAAAGCUCUAGAAAUAAUUUUAACCAAUUAAAAAUGAGCACAAGCAAUAAUUAAAUCCCUGGAAAUUCUCUUUUCCUUCUUCCUCUUCUUUUUCCCCUCUUUUUCCUUCUUGGGCUGUCGGCCCAUUUCCCCUCCCCACGCAUACGCCUCCCCGCUGGGCCGGCCCGAGGCCGCGGCCCAGUCGCCCCGUGCCUCUCCUCCCUCUGGGUCACUGCAGGUUUGGCCCGCCUGUCAGGCCCGUCCCCUACCUCCGGUCGGCGCCGCACACGCCCUCAACCACCGUCACCCGCCUCUCCUGCGCCUCCAGGGCCACGUCGCCCACUCCCCGCACUCUCCGCGCAUGUCCCGGAACCGCAGCCCCUUCUCCCGCCUACGCGCCUGCGCUGAGAUGGCCGGGAUUCAAUUUUUGAAUCCCGCCUCUCUCUCCUCCACGCCUCCCCACGUCGCCGGCCGAUCUGCGCCCCUAUUGGCCACGUCUCGCCCCCUCGCGCCAAUAUAAAGCACCCCCGCUCCCUCCUCCACCUUUUCCCGUUUUCGCCAAGCUCUCCUGUGCACUCCACCGCUCUAGUGCUGUCGCCCUCCUCUCCGCCACCGCCGCCGCUCCAGUCACCGCUAGCCACCGCGCCGAGCCGCGCCGACGACGCCGUCGCGUUCACCGCCUCAGGCGCCAUGCCGUCCACCCCUUCCCCGUCGAAAUCCGCCACCGGGGGCCGUCCUUCGUCGCGCCGGUCUGCCCAAAGCCGUCCCACCAUCACCGUCGCCAUCGCUUUCCAAUGCUCGCCGUCGUCGAUCGUCAUCGGUAAGGCCUCCCCCAUUUUCCCUCCUUCUCCAGCGCAGCCUAGCACCGCCGCUUAGCCGGUUAGCCGCGUCGCCGCCGCCGUUAGCGCCGCUCCGCCGCGCGCCAGGGCUGUUGGGCCGGCUUAAGCCGCCUGCGCGCGCCCGGCCGCGCGCCACCUUCGCCGUAGAGGUAGAUCGGUGUCACAGCCUGAAUUUUCGUUUCAGGAUUUAGAAAUUAUUUAAUAAAUUAUUAAUCGAAUUUAUAUUAACUGUUCAUUAAUUUACAAGUGAAGUUAAAUGUGGGAAAUAAAAUUUCCUUAAUUUAAAGCAUGGAUGGAUUUAAUUUGUAUUAAAUUCUCCAUGAUUAAUUAUACUCUCUGAAAUUUUCUCGGAAUUUUCGGAGCUCAAUUCCUAAUGUUAAUAAUACAAAGAACAGUUUAGCAAUUAUUUAAAUAAUAAAUUAAUCAUUAAAUGAUCUGGAUAUUAUUAUAUUAAAUACUUUGAGUGUCCAAGUAUGUUCAAGAUUUUUCUUGGAAUUAUUUGAGCAUUGGAAGUAUUUUUAACAAUUGAAAUAUCAUCUCAUUGGUUAAUUUAUUUGGAAAAGCAGUAAAAUCAUCCUUCCUAGUCUUGGGCCGAAUUCACCCCAUUCCCUCCCUUCCUCUCAGCCGGCAGAAAAGUCUAGUUUACCUCCCUUGCGCUACAGUGCUCCUUCCAGCUCUGGACAGAGCCAGAGCCAGAGCCGAGCCGUGCCGUGCCUGUUGCCGCCGAUCCCCUUCCAAAAUCCAACCUCUCCGUUGCUCUUAUUUCCGAAUUGGUUGCGGGAAUGGAAUCCUCUCAAUCUCCUCUUCCUUGUCCCCAAGAAAUCCCCAAAAGUUUAUAUGGAAAUCCUUUCCAAUUUCGCGGUUCAACCUUUCCUUUUUCCGGCGAAGAUCUAAACGUUCCCGAGUUUUUCCCGUCGUUGUGGGCUCGAUCCCGGCCUCCCAUGCUAUAUAAAGGACCCCCUAGUCGUCCUCUACUCAUCCCCUCAAGUCCCGUCUUCCGCCGUCGCCAGAAACGCUCUCCCCACGCUCUCCCUCUCUCUCCACCUCUGGCCGCCGCUCCAGCCGCCAUUCGCCGUCGCCCCGGCCGUGGCCGGUCAGCUCCGCCACCUCCCUCGGCUUCGCAGUGAAGAGCUCUACCCCGGCCACCCGUUCUUUUGCGCCGAACCCCGCCGGAAGUCGCCGUCACCGUGAAGGCCGAACCGUUGCCAUGUUUUUAUCUCCUGCGAAGUUUUGCCGUCGACUCCGUGGUCGCCGGACCUCGCCGUAUCCACUGUCGGCAUCGCAGCGGUGAGGAGAAACCCGGCAGCCACCUCCGCGAAGACGCAAGCCAUCGGAGCACCGUCGUCACCGUGAAGCUGAUCUGUUCCAUCUUCAGUCGCGUCGUUCGUCUUCGUCCGUCGUCGCCCUCUGUCGCCGUCGAGUCCAUUGGGUUCGCAGGAGCAAGGUGAAGCCCGGCCAUCGGUUUUUCUUCGCCGAAGAUCGCUGAAACGUCGCCGCCAUCGCUGACCCGACCCCGUCGCCGCCUCUACCUCGCUGCCGGCCGUCUGCCGUCAUCUUCCAUCGUCGCGCCACCCCUCAGUGAGCUUUCCUCUCUCCGAUGUCGUUCACCGGUGUAGUUUAUCCAUAGGGUCUUGAUCCAAUCUAAUCUAAUUUGGCCCUUGUGUCGUCAUCAUCUUCAUGUGUUGUCGCCGGAAAAUCGUCGCCGCCAUGGACAGUACCUCGCCGCCCUUCGAAGCUCGUCGUCGGCCAUCUUCCGUAGCUGUCCGUCGUUGGAAAGUGUUGGUAAGAAUCGCCAUCGCCUUCUCUACCUCCCGGUGCCCUCCGUUUGCAUUAUUGUGCCGUGGUUCGCCGGCAACCGCCGCUCCUAUGCCGUUCACCUGUGAGGUUUUCCCUAGGGCCUUAAUCCGAUCUGACCUAAUCCGCUGUCUAUCUAGCGUAGUAGUCGUCUCCGUGUGUUGCCGCCGGGUAGCCAUCGUCAUCUCUCUCUCUCCGAUCAUUUUGGUUCGGUGAGACUUCUAUCCGUGUUCCCUCGGUUUAGUUUUUAAUCUCUCGUUUUUGUCGUCGAGUAGCCGCUGCCAUGCAACGCUUAGCUGCUGCCCUAGCGUCGCCGCUGCGCUAGUCGCCUAGCCGUUGUUGUGCCGUAAUCCUAACCCUAGCCGCGUGUCUCCGCCAAGUCGCCGCUGCCAAGCCGAGUCAAGUCGCCCUAGUGCCGCCGUGUCGCAGCUAUGUGCCGCUUUAACCCAGCCGCCGCUUUAGCCAUUGCUCGGUAGCCAAGUUGUCUAGCCGUAGGUGCAUCCUUAAAUUCCUACCGGCCUAUCGUUUGACGUACCAGGGCUUUAUCAUGAGUCGUGUCUAGCUCACCGAUUUAGUCGCGGCCGUUGUUGAGUCAUUCACUCGUUCGUUCGAAUGAGGUGUUCCCCGUGCUUCGUUCGUUCGUCCGUGUUGAGCUGUUCAGAGCCGCCGGUUCCGUUUGCCGGUUUCGGUUGAUCAUUUGGGUGAUCCGGUGUCACGUAGAAUUGACUCGUUGAGUCGGUAUCUCGUGAGGCCCGCUUGCCAGAUCAAUCUAAGCCAUCCAAUCUUGGUCGACUCGGUCAAGAUUAAUCUCAGCCAUAUAAAUCCGUUCGCUCUUUUCAGUGGCAUUUUAUUUCUUUUUAAUAUAUGUCAUCUACCAAAUAUAAUCUAAUCUAUUUCGGAGGUUGCUUUAAUCUUUUAUCUCAGUUAUAAAUCAUUUGUAAAUUAUUUAAUUAAUUUGGAAUAGUCUUUUCUUUAAUAGGUUUAAUUGGAAUUAAAUCUUGUAAAAUUCGUAACUAAUUCAUAUGAAAUCGGAAUGAGGCCGUUCAAGUCUCUAAAAUCAUCUAAAAUCAUGAUUUACAUGUUUGUUUACUUUAUAUGUAUUGUUUAUUUGGUUUUUAUUAGUCUUUUUCCUCGUUUUGCGUGUUAGCUUGUCGUUUCCGUCGUUUUGAAGGUUCGUGAGUGCGCCGGAAGUACUCAAGAAGACUAAUUGAAGACCGAAUAUUGCAAGGCAAGUCACACAGAUCCUAAACACAAUUCCUUUGAGCAUGUUGAUCCUAUAUUUAAAUUCUCUAUUUAUUUCAACUGUGCAUUUAUUUUCGAAUGUCACCGGGUGGUGUGAACUUAUUCCUUUGUUAUGGCCUGCUUGCAUUGAUUACUCUAUUCCUUGAUACCGGUUAUUAUAAUUUGACUAGUUGAGCUUUAUAUAUUGGUUCAGCUAGAUGUUAGAUAUAAUUGCUUAGCCAUGCUUAGAGACAUUAGCUCACAUAAAUGGGAUAACGUAUGAUUUACUAUUAUUUAAUGAUGGCUUAAUGAUAGCUCACGAUGGUCAAUCGUGAUUGGUUAAUUAGUUAAUGUGCCAACUAAAACUUGAUAAUGGUGGGUUGUGAGCACAUGGUUUUGAUGGUCGUGCUCAUGACAAUUAAGGACCGGUUCACGAGUUUCGGUUAUGAAACAUUAAUCGUGCCAACCACAAGCCAGAAUGGGCAACGACUGGACACUUUGUAUAACAAGGCUCAUUGUGGAGUGCUAGACUGAGAAGUGGCGGAGAUAAGCCCAUGGGGGUCGCUGGGGAGUCCAUGCCUCUGGUUUUUGAGGGGGUGACUACGAUCCAGGAACGGUGCACUACUUUGGGUUGAGUUAUGCGAGGGGUCUUGUCACAAUCACUCAACAUGGUGACGUGUCUGGCCAGGCACGGUAACAUGCUGGUGGGUUGUGUCUUGUGGGUACAGUGGUACACCUCUGGCCAGAGUAAAACUAUUCGAAUAGCCGUGCCCGCGGUUAUGGGCGGGUCGAACAAUGUCUUUCGUGAUUAGUCCCACACUACUCAUUAAUAAUAAUGUGGUAAUUGAUGGUAAUUAAUUUAGCUCCUGGUUUGGAAUGGUAUAUUCCUGGUUUGGAGAUAGAUCUGUGCAGCCGGGUAUGGUUGUUCAGGAUGGUUGGGCCUGUGCAGCAUGGGUGUGCUGUUCAGUGUUGAUUAAUAUUGAUGAUUAAUUACUCUACUGUUUUACAAUUCUUAAAUGUUUGCUAAAUGCUGCUUUUGCAAAUGAGCCCUAUAUUAUGCCAUUCUUUGGUAUCCUUGUGCAUUUGCAUAUUUGCUGUGUGGCUUGCUGAGUAUGUCAUAUGCUCACCUUGCAAUAAUCAAUCAAACCUCAGUUGAAGACAAGUUGCGAAGGAGAUGACGUUUGGCUUAUACACCAGUUGAGUUGCCUGUGGGAGUGGAGCCGGAGCUUCGCUAGAUUUUAUUUUCCGCUGCAGUUUUCUUCAUGGUGAGGACUAAGUGCCUCUUAAGUAAGUAUUUAUCGUUUUAGUUAAUUAGAUGAAUAUGUAUAUUAAAUUGUCAGUUUGUGUACCUCGGCUGAUUCCUGGACGAGGAUUUUAUGCACAAAUAUGUUUGGAAAUUAUGAAUUUCUGGGCGUGACAAUCGGGGCUGCUUAUCCGCAGCCCACGUGGCCGCCACUUCGGCGCCACGUGUGUGGCACGUGGCGCUCCCCUCUCCCGGUCCCGUGGACUCAGUCCACCGUGGACCGACGUCCCCGAGCCGAUGACAUGUGAGGCCCGUAUGUCGGCUCCGCCCCCCUGUUGAUAAUUCUUACGACCACAGAUAAAUCCUUAAGCGCAUGAAAUACCGCUGUAGCACUUCACCUUCAAUUGACCCCAAAAGGAUAUCGAACUUAGGGAACGUGUGUAAUCUACCUAAGGCUAAGACGAUCCAAGGACAACAACUGAUGAUAGGUAGGCUAGGCUAGAGAAGUCUUUCUAUGGGUUUUAAUUAUCUAAGCUAAGUUGAAGGUAAUUCCCUAUCUGUUGCUUCGGGCACCGACCCUUGCUGGUCUGCCAGUGUGGUUCCGGCUAUAGCUCUAUGAUGUAUCUGAGUGUGGAGGAUUACUUGGACGGGAUUCAGGGCUAUCACCACCUACCGCCUACCUCUGACAAAUCCGUGGGAUACACAACAAACAAAGGUAAUCUCUAACCUAGACACCACGCCUAAGUUAUUAAUUAGUACUCUAAUACUUGCGCAGGAACUUCCUUGUCUAUCCGGAGUCCUAGUACUAGAGCACUUAGUAUAAAUACUAAACAAUGAAGCCGCAAAGAUGUAAAUCUAUCUUACUUAGACUAAAUAAUUAAAUAACAAAAGAAAGGAACACGAAUGCUUACUUUAUAGAAGAAGUUCUCCGAACCCAGAGCAGAGUGUAUCGACAGCUCCGGUACUCCUGCCGAAUGCCUCCUAGGAAGCUACACUCAUCGAGGUAGAAGUCGGAUGAGCACCAAACUUCCGGGCACUCCUCCAGAGCUUCCCCUCACUCUCUACCUUAUUCUAAUGUAGAAAAGAUACUAUAGAGCCUCUUGUAAUUCAGCUUAAAGUUGUGUGUUGUGAAUGAAUUAGAGGAGCUCUAUUUAUAGCCUCCAUAUGAUGGUUACAGGUAUGAGAAACGACCAACUACCCCACAACCGUAAUUGGGAUGAAAUCAGGACCGUCCAUGUGAAAGAUGGCGAUGAACGGCCACCAAAGUGGUUCGGCCGAACUUCCACGGCUCCAUUCGGCCCUUUUUCGUCGUGGACACUAAUUUUGAGGCCCUCAGCCCAUUGGCAUGAUAGUUGGGCCCAUCUGGAGUUGUUUAAUUGACUUAUGGGGCCUCCAAUCCAUGUAAAUGUGUCCUGAAUGCACGGAGGUGCAGUUUGUCGCUUGACGGAUGUGUUUUCUUCUCAAAAUACCUGUAUACACAUAUUUCACCAACACUAGUGGAAAUGAUUAGUAAUAAUACCUACCACUAAGUUGGAUAACGUGUUUUAUUUCAUUAUAUGCAGGUAUUGACGGUCAGAUAUUAUGAUUUAAGGACCGUCAACAACACCCCCGCACUUAACCUUUGCUCUUCCCGAGUGAAGGCUAUGGACUCUACAACAAAGUUAUGACUUCCUUACUAAUAAUCCUGCAAACAAAUUAUUCAAAGCCAUACAUGUACUUGUGGGUCUUUGUAGCGUCUACCAUGCGAUCCUAAGCAAUUGAGAAAUGGAACAAUCUUGACUCAAGUCACCAUAACUUUUCAUGAAGAACAACUUGAGUUUUUUUUUCAAGUAACACAAAACUAUAACUUUGCUUUGCUCCUCAAUUGAUUCUCUCGAUCACUCAAGGUGUAUGAUUUUUCACAAAGGCAUAUGAUUGCGCCUUUUCUUUUCCUACCAUCUAAUAAGGCUCAUGUGGAGCUCAGGUAUGGAAAAGAGUAGAGCAUUACCUGCAUCACAUAUAUUGCAAAGUCAAAUAAUGGAUCCACGGAAAUACAAGACAUACUUUCUGGUCAAGAAUGUGCAUAUGUAUGUAUGGUGAAUUUGUGGGUGGAAAAAGGAAAAAUAAAGAUAACUCCUUUUGUAUACCUCCUCUUCCAUUUAUUUUCUCUUUUGAAAUUUGGGAGAGUGCAUGGCUAUCUUUUUUUUUCUUUUUUUUCACCAUCAUGCUCCAUACUUAUAUGAGCAUUUUUUUCUUUUCUUUUUGCAUAACCAUGCCUCUCUCUUUCUUUCUUUUUUUUGAAAGAACUUUGGAGGAAGAGGCAUAAAUAACAUGGAGUAUUUAUUUGAUAGAUGAAAUGAAUGACAAAUGGGAGAUGCUAACUUCCAGUGUAGAAGUCAAGCAUAGGUGGGUGUAUGUGGAUUGUAUGUGUGUUCUUGACCAUGAAAGUAUGAAAAGCGUUUCACUAGGGUCAUAAAACUUGACAACGCUCAAUGAAAUGACAAGCAGCGUAUGUAGCAAGAUAAUCAUGAAUGAUCAACCUAUGGCUCUAGCGGGAAUAAAAAUAUCAAUGAGGAGUUUAACAUCGUUAUAUUUUUUUUCUUUUUAUAAAAUUCCUAAGUGUACAACAUGAAGAGCAAGAUUUCUAUCAUCAGACUUAUAUCACAUUCAUCAAUUACCUAGAUAGCAUGGGGUCCCUAUUGAAUAUGUCACCACAAGCAACAAGUAAUGAGCAAAGAAUAAAAGGCAUGCAUGUUAUUUUCAGGGAGAUCAUGGACUCUAAUUGUUAUUUUCUUCGAUAUUUUAGAAUUGAUGAUCAAAUUGAACUCAAGAUAAAAUGGAUGUCCAAAGAAAAAUUGUGCAAACCUGCGCUCUGUAUAAAACAGAGGACGAUUCAUGGUAAAGGAGGUUCAGCUGAACUGGGGGUUUGGCUGACUCCUCAUUGGUUCUGACUGCAACAAUUUUCCUUGUGUGGUUCGUCAUGGCUCAUCACUUUUGGGGUGAUCUUGCUUUGGUUAUGGCGUUGAUGUGCAAGAUCACCCCCACACAAAAAAGAAAAAAAGAAAAAGAAAGACAAGAGUGAAGCAAAAAGGGCUCACUUGGUUGGAAGACCAAGGAGCCAACUUUAUUUUAUUUUAUUUUAUUUUAUUCAUGAAAGCUAGACCUAAGAUAACUAGAGGGAGGCCUAAGGACUUGUGGCGUUGAAAACUAACGGAUCAAGGGGGACCUAAAGACUCCGGGUAGAA